CAGCCACCUUCCUCAUAUUGGCCGAAAUUUAUAUGCCUUGUUGCCUAUUUGUGAGCAAUCUUCAAUUCUUGCUUAUUUUGUGAAGAUGCUUUGGCUUUCUUUCCGGUUUUGAGAGAUUUUGGGCCCCUUGCCGAUUUUAAGGGGGAUUUUCUCCCUUUUGCCGAAUUUUAGGAAUGUUUUACACUUCCUUUGCUUGAUUUGUGCCACAUGUCAUUGAUGACUUGUCCGUUUGUGAUGAGUCAUAUGCCUUUUGUAUUCAACGCAAUUUACAUGUCUACAAUAACACAUACACCUUUUGUAUUCCUUUGCUUGAUUUUUGCCAAAUUUUAGGAAUGUUUUACACAUACACCUUUUGUAUUCAACGAAAUUUACAUGUCUACAAUAACACAUACAUAGAAAACUUUGCAGCAACUACAACUAGCUAUGAUUGAACGAAAAUUUUGACAGCAGCUACCACUAGCUAUAACCCAUAAAUGGAAAGGACAUAUAUUUUUCUUCGCUUUUUCAAAAUUUAGGGUAAACCAGAAGAACUGACAACUGAGGGUCCGUGAGCAUACAUUCAUAUAUCUGGGUUUAUUAUGUUUAUUUGUUUGUCUCUCAACCAUUAAAAAGAUCUUACAAAGUUCCUGACAUAAUUGUAUCAUAAAGAACUGAAGGAAAUAACUACAGAGUACGUACGCACACAACCUUCACACCUACUUUUCCUUCGAAUUGUUUUUUGGGUAAUGAACAGCUGGUCAUCAAGAGUUCAGGUUAGUUGCAAAGGGUUAAAUAGAUUAGAGCUAUCUUAAUGGAAGUCUCUUUAAAGUUUUUUUAAAAUGGUGGGUAUAUGGGUCGAUAGGGUUUCUAAAUUAAAGAACUUAGGUUAAGAUCAAAUACUUAUUAAUUAAGAAUAUAUUGAUUAGGAAUUAAUUUUGGUUUUUGAGUUAGGUUAAAGGGCUUUAUUUAUUAUUUAGGUAUAGGUCAAUGUGGAAUUCCAUAUGAGUUUCAAGUCGUUAUAAAUGAUUGAAAAUGACGUUUCUGCCCUUAAUAAUCUGACUAAAACGUAGAACUGAAUUCCAGUAUCCUUAAAGCUCAUAUCCGACACUACAUUGCAAUUUUUAUUCUGCAAUUUUAUGGAUUCAAAUUUCACUCUUUAUAACCUCAUUAGUUUGCCCCAUUUUUAGUUCAGGUCGAUCACGGCCUAGAAAGGCGAAAGCUCAACUCUCGUCAAAGCCAUCUUGGCCUUGCGUAUAUGAGCGGAUGCACAGAGAGACUAGUGAGGCACUUCAGAGAGACAUGGCUAACAUGAGUAGGUCACUGUUCAAGAACGAGAUCGAGCAGAUGAAGCCACAAAUUUAGCUUGCCACAUUUGACUUUUUCAAGGGAGACGAAAAUCCGAAGAGGUAACUGAAGCACUAUCAUAACGUGAUGAUUCUCUAUAUGAACAACGAAAUUGGGGGACCACGCUACCCCCUUAAACCACAUAAGGGGUUCACUGCCUACUUAGUCUCUUUAGAUCCAUAGGUCGUCCUGCUUGGUUACUCCGUAUUUGGAGACCACGUUAUUGGAUGGAUGCCUAUGGUUCCGCCUAGUUAAUCCACAUUGGGGAAUCAUACAUAUUCCAUUCGGGAUUCCAUUAAGUGGUUUGGAUACUUCGCUUUGCCUCGAUUCCAUUGAGUGGUCCAGAAUUGUAUUCUAUUUGGGAGUCCAAGAGUUUUAUAAAACUUUCUUGAUGGAAAAAAUGUGAAUAAAAGAUCCCCCUGAAUAGAAUUUGGUCCAUGAAUCUAAGAAAUGGUGAGAAUUCUAGAUCUCUCUCAAUUCGAAAAUCCAAGAUUUCAAUUGAUGUCUUGGCAUUGAACCCUCCUAAAUUGCAUUGAUUUAUCCUAAAGAUUUCAUUUCAAUUGAAAUUUGGUUAUUCACCAUGUAAGAGGAUCCCUGCUAAGCAUCCAUGGUUGAAUGGUUAAAGCGCCCAACGCAUACAUAAAUUGCAAAAUAAAAUGACAUAUAAAUGAUAAAGUAUUAGAACAUAUUCAAAACAUGGGGAAGAAGCAUAUAAUGGGUGAUCAUCGACAUAUUCAACAAGUCUCUUACAUUUUAUUGAAAAUUUAAAAUGCAAAAUGAAAUUAUCGAUUUUCUAUCUGAGUGAGAGUCGAGACCUAGGAGGGUUUAAGCAGCCUAGACCUAUGCCUAAGCGGGCUAGACUAGCACCUAGGUAGGCUAGGUGGACACCUAAGCGAGUCUAGGCAAUGCUUAGGAUUAAUCGCGGUGGUGCCAACCGCCUAGCACCACCUUUUUAGAAUAGUGGUUUGAUUACACCACUUCGCCUCAAUUUCGUUGAGUGGUCCGGAAUUGUAUUCUAUUCAAGAUUCCGUUGAGUGAUCUGGAUACCCUACUUUGCCUCGAUUCCAUUGAGUGGUCCAAAAUCGUAUUCUAUUCGGGAUUCCGUUGAGUGAUCCAGAUACCUUGCUUCCUCUCGAUUUCGUUGAGUGGUCCAAAAUCAUAUUCUAUUUGGGAUUCCUUUGAGUUGGUCUAGAAUGUAGGAACAUAGAAGCUGCUCAAGCUUAUACUUGUGUUGGAAACUUAGAGUUUCAAUGCUAUUGAUUUGAAUUUCAGGUAAGGAAAUACGACGAACCUUACAUAGGUCAGCUUUACUAAACUUAAUGAAGUGAUAUAAAAUUUUAUUGGUUUGAUUAACCUAGUUAAACGUUAAGAGCAUGCAUUUUUUAUUUUUUAUUUUUGAAAAAUUGUUGGUUGUGUUUGUGGGAUUGUUGUUGGAAAACAGUUCAGUAUACGUAAUAGAGGAAGGGAAAAACUCUGAUAUGGUUAAUUGGUUGACUUACGUGUUAUAAAAUUGAGGGAUCAUGCUCAUUGAGUUCCAUUGAGUAAUUUUUGAACCCUAUGUUUUUAUGCUAGAGAAAUGGUGAACUACAAAUGGCUUAAUCAAGUCUUUGAGUACGUAGGCAGUCUAACAAGAAGGUUAGAUGCAAACAUAAAAUAAAAGAAAAGUUACUAUGCUGUUGGACCUUGAUUUAUGUUCUGUUCAUGUCUCAGAGGCGAGAGAUGACAAAUGAAUAGAUAACUGGUGACAUCAUGUGUCGAUCUUGGAUGUAUCUCAAGAUCGGGGCGUAACAUGUGACCAAGGAAACAUUCUCGAGAAAGAAUUUUGCUAAAGCUACCAAACGGCAGUUUAUUCUGUCAAAGGCAAUUCACUAGAAUUUCCGUAAACUUCUAUGUCACUUCUAGGAAGAUGGAGCGCAGGUGCGAUUUCUUUCUCAAACACUUUUCCAAGACUAGGAACCCGAAUUGGACUACAGAAGUAGAAUAUAACCUGUAGUUGAUGAAUGCCUAGUCUGUUUUUGAUUCCUAUUUUGCUUGGUUUGACUAUUGAACAGGUAUAAAAGAAUUGCGGACGAUGUCAAGACCAGUGCUGCUUGUUUUUCUGCUUCUUAUUCUCAUUAUCACUUCCCAGUUUGAGUGGAAGCAACAAGUUGUGCCUGAUCUUGACACUACUCCAAGCAUCUCCAAAAAGCAGAAUCAAAACUCGAAUAGGGAAGUAGCUGUGAAAGAGAAGGUAACAAGCCUUUUCCUGAUUCAUGUAAUUCUUUGUUUGUAUUUAUUUUUAGUAAGUCCAUAUUUCAGUGUCCCUUAUUCUUUGAUGCUUAUAUGGAGAUAUUGAUUGUCACAAAAUAUUUCUUGAACUGAGAUUAGCUGCUUAUGGUAGACAUUUAUGUGCGGGUUUGUCUUUAUUUUUCAGUGGCUGCCUAGCUGGAAUGCUGGCUAAUUUUACUUGAAACCACAAUCGUAUGUUUUUUCCUCGGUUAUUCUUGAGGAACCAGUAACUACAAGCAUGUGAAUUUGUUUCUUUGUUUUCCUUUUCUAUCCUAUUUCAUUUGACGAUGUUUAAUGCAUAUAUGGAGGUUGCCACCGUAGACAAUUUUCUACCUGAUUCAGCCUUGCCCCAACAGAAACUACUUUUAUUUCUACUCUCACUUCCCUUUGGAAAAUGCGAGAUCAAAUACUUGAUCUUUGCUGUCACCUAAGUCCUGUGUGUUUCUGUUUUCUCUAUUAUUAGCUUUGAAACAAGCAGGUUUCUUCUCUUUCGAGGCACAAAAACUAUGCAUGUGUAUUUUGACCGUAUAUAGAUUGCUUGAAUAAAAGAUAAUCCAACAGGCUUGUAUCAAUCAAGAAGCAUUCAACUCUUCUGAGCAUAAGUGAUAAUUAUAAGCUGUUUACACUUUUUCCGUUUGGUAUGUACUGUUGGUAUGAGAGAGGUUAAAGUGAUCGAAACAUCAUCGGUAUGUGCUGUCGGAUUAUUGACUAAUGUCUACUCAUGGAAGCAGCAAAAUCAUUAAGAAAGAGUCAUGUUAUUUUUCUUUUCAGCCACACAGUUACUAAGUAUGUACAUUCAAAUAUUCGAUAUUGAGUGCUUUAUUUGUUCUGAAAGGUUUCUUCCACUUCUGAACUCCAAUAUCACACUCUUUUCUCUUGUUUAGCUUUCGUGUUCCUAUCCUCCUUUGUAAUUAACCAUGGACGUUUUCAUCCGUACAAUCAGGUUCUUUGUUUUUUUCCCCAUUUGGAUUGGAAACUAGUGUAGGUUCCUUGACCAUUGAGUGUUGGCGUGACUCUUAUGUAUGUAUCUCUAGUUCUCUACCUUACUAGCAAUUUGGUACUGAUAUGUAGAAGAGGGACAAAAAACAGAGGUAGAUAGAAUAUAGGAGCUUACUUAGAACGAGAAGUAGAACAAGAUGAGAGAGAAAGGAAUUAGGCUGAAGUCUUUUUAUGAUAAAAAUCAGAGUAAACUAAAACAACCGAUAUGAGGUGUAAUAUAUGCUUACAGACAGUCCCAGCUUAAUUAAAACGCCUAGAAUGAACAGAUAUUUUGUUUCUGACCAAAAAGACGACAACGCUUUGUAGCCAAUUUAUUGAUAUAUCUGUUUCCUGUACGGUGCUUAGUUUCUAAUCAACUUUUUUUUCUUUCUAUUUAUUAUAAGGAGAAUCCUUGGAAUAAUGUAUAUAUAGGUCCCCAUAGAUCUGUUAUCCGCUUAUCAAGCUUAUGUAGUGGCAGGGAUAAUGCAACGAGGAACCAAACACAAACACUAAGCUUCAUGCUUGGGUGAUUUUGUAUUUAUGUUAUGAUUCUUUUGGCCUAUCGGUUUCGUAGAUGCAGCGUGACUUCCCAUGAAUCUGAUGACAUGAAUGAACAUUAGUUGGACACAUGUAGUUUAUUAUGGGCAAACUGGUAUGUUGCAGUGUCGCCUGAAUGAAAGAUGUUAAUCUGCAUUUACCAUGAUUUAAAAUGACUUGUUAUUUUGCUGUAAUGAUCUGUUUCUAAUCCAUCUUUCAAUUGAAUCUUCAUCAUUGAUCCGAGUUCUUCUGUGGCUUCGAAGGUUUUGCAAGAGUUCUAAUUUAACAUGUUUGGCUUGUUGUAGAUCAUAUUAUUGCAGGAAAAGAACAUUCAGAGACUUAAUGAGCUUGUUCGUAGUCUUCGGCAACAGUUGGUACAGUGUAGGAGCAAGAAUGUGACUAGAAAUCAAACUGUAAGCUUCCUAACAGAACAAGUUACAGAACUUGAACGACAUCAGAUAUUCGAUGACUAGGCUGAGCCCGUGGAAGUAUAUGGAUUCUUGUAAUAUGUUUGAACUGUAAAAACCUUUGUGUUCUUUUACCAGGUUUCACAAUGAAAUUCCACUUAGUUUGAGUGUAGAAUGCCAACCACUCGUGUCAUUGUACCACACUGUAAUUCAAACGUAAGAAUCUUCUCGUCACAUUUUAACCGUUUUUCCCUUUGGUUAAGUGGAAAUUUAAUACUCUGAAAAGUUGUUUCUUCAUGCAGCGUGCUAUAAAAUUUGCCUGACAUAAAAAAUUUAAAAUAAGCGUUGCCGUUAGCAUGACGUCAACUUGUUCGAAGGCAGCACGUCCGGCUUGAGAAGGCUGGGCAUUGGGGCAGGCAAUGGUUGGCCCACCACUUGCCCUUUAUUUUAUGAAUGGCUAGAGUGGGUUUUGUGGGUUGGAGGUCAAGGGCAUGUAAGUUGUCCUUACUAUUCACUCUAAACAGUAAUUAUCUUUAUACAACUUUACCUGUUAGGAAAUAGCGAGGGCAAUGGCAAAGGUAAAUAUUAUUCACAAAUAUAUGUAUUUUUAUUUUAUUUUUGUAUGCUUUGUUGGCCUUAUCUAGCAGAAUUAAAAACCUUCUUUUUUCAAACUUUAUAUUAAGAAGAAGUAAUUAACUUACCUCAGGCAGCCUAUCAUCUUUCAAUCCUUCAAUCCGGUGAAAUUCAUGGCCUUCACUACAACAUUGUUACUGCAGUUGAGGUGUGGUUUCUGUACGUCUAGGAUACCAAAAUAUUGUAUCAUGAACGAAGAAAGGCAUGAGAGAAAAACAUAUUGGCUACAUUUCAAAGCCCUAUCACCAAAGAAAUCAACCCGUCGUCCUUUUCCUUCAAUCUGCUGAUGUCAUGCCAUUUCAAACCCAAGCCGUUCAUCAGCAGAUAAAAAAUUGAAAACCGCAACUACAACUUAGUCCCACAUCGGCCAUCAGCGGAAGGCACAACGCUUUAUAUAUAAUGAAGCCAAACUCGUGCCCCAGCUGGAAAUUUACUUGGUUGGGGGGACCACUUGCUGGUCGUAGAACACGGGCGGUGCAGAGUGUCAGCAAUUACUCUUUCAGACCUUUUUCACGAUCUUCAACGGGGGAUCCACUUUACAGUCGGUGACGUCAUGAUAGUGACGUCUGCCCUACACAAAAUGUACUGCUGGAAGUGAUUUUAUGGUAGUCAAACAUUGACAUGAAGAUUGAUACGACAAAUAUUGGUCGGUAGUUAGUGAACAAACCAGGAGGAUCCUCGAGGAUCCUGAAGAUGUGUGAUGCUCUUUAUGAGGAUCGUCGAGAUUGAUACGACAAAUAUUGGUAGGUAGGUAGUCAACAAACUAGGAGGAUCAUUUGUGUUCGUUUAUCGUAUAUUGUGAAAAUAAUUUUAAGAAUUUUUAAAUUGUAUCUGUUUAUUGUACAUCGUGAGAUUAAUUUUCGUCAGACGAACAUAAUUUGAGAAUUUUCAGAAUCCUCACAAUCCUCAUUCGUGAACAAAGAGUUUUGAUAAGACUAAUAUAAAAUGGCUUGCAAAAACAGUUGCAUUUCCAGUAGAUUCAGUGAUCCUUUCUCGAAAGAAAAAAAAGUAGAUUAAUUGAUCUAAUUAUGGAUAUCUCCAAAUUUUUUCCUUUUUUCCUUAUAUAGCACUUAGCCUACUUUCAUUUGUCUGUUUUUGGGAAUUUGAGAGAGAGGGGGGGGGGGUUUGAGGGGAGAGAGAGAGGAGGAGGUCACAUUCUUUCAAUUGGGUGCGUCGACUAAAAAGAAAAGAAAAAAGUGGAGGAGGUGUGUGUACCGAAUGACGGAGGAUUCCAUCAAUUCACAAUUUUUUUUUUAGAAAAGAAGAUAAUUAGUGGUAAAUUACGGUUAUCUAUUCAUUUUGGAAGCCAAGAAGACUUGUAGAGGCAUUUCAGCCUUUCCCUGUCCACAGUCAAACAUACUUAUCAGCUUGAAGCCUCGACCCAAGACCUCCUUUUUUUUUUUUUUUUUUGUAUUUUAAGAGCUAGAAUCUGUGCCCUUACCAUUGGCCACCUAUGGAUGAAUUCACAAAUUUUUGAGGUCUUGAUUCUUGAACAGUUCAUUUGUCACUUUUUUCCUUGUAUGGUGGGAUUGAAGUGUUGUGAUCAAAUAGGAUUUGAGAGGAUAGAUAUAAAAGGAGCCCAUCUCCUAGAAAUGGAACAGAUCAGUUUUAACAAAAGAAAUCAAAUACAAAAAUAUUGGAGCUUGGCUUCUUCUCUCCUCCUUCCUUCCCUCUUAUUCUAUGUGCAAUAAUUAAGGUCGAUUUAGGGUUGAGAUUGAGUCUUAACAAAGCACAACUGAAGUUCUACACUCCAGAAUCAUUAGAGGAAUCAAAAGCUCUCUCAAACGGUUUUAAUGUUACCUCUAUCCUCACCAUUGUGAGUUGUGUGAGAGACUUGUUACACUGGCAUUGGGCAACACUAGAUUCGGAUACUCAAUGUAAAUGUGAAGGCAAGACCACAUGCUUUACUAAUUUGGUGAGACAAACUCAUGUGAUAAAAUUUCUUAAGAUUGGUUAGAGUCAUUAGACAAACAUCAAUAUAGAAGCUAAUGGGAGUGAGCAAAAACAGACUCGAGAAAUUUUGUAUGUGUGGUUAUAUUACUUUAUCUUUGGCUGAAAAUAGCAUCCACUGGACAUAACAUGGCAUGUGUAUAAUAUUUGGACACUCUUGUGAUAGACCACUAGUUUGUAUUAAAAAAUUUUAGGAUUAUUUAGAUAUAGACCCUUACAACUCUUCUUUCCUAGAUAAAAACCCACCUAAUUCUAAACAUCAAAAUAAAAUCCAAAGUUGAAAAGAGAGCUACUAGACCCACCCCAUUGUCUUAUUUCUCCACCCACGCUAUAAUCUCACCCUCCUUAAAAAGUUAAAAAAUUAAAAUGUUAUUUCCCCACCCCCUAUUAUUUUCAAAAUAUCCUUUAACAUAUGCAUACAUAUGAAAUUAUAAAACAACAUAUAAUUUUCAUAAUGCAUCACAGACAUAGUAUUUCAACUAGCUCUUGUGCCAGGGUGCUGCUGAUUCAUUCCAAGCGUUCUAAAAUGCACACGACAAUGAAACAGCAAAAAAGGAAAGGAUUGUUUGAUUUGCUUAAAGAUUUUCGUAGGUGAGUUUUGUGUUUCUCAACAUAUUGUUGACCCUAAAAACUACCAAGCCUACGUGGCGCGCAUGCCGAGUAAUCUAUAAGCUAACUACGUCAUUCGGUGAAUGCGGGGCGUGCCAACUCGUCGGCCGAGGAGUAAAUUUGUUGAUGUUGCGUUGGGCGCGCGGCUGACUUCUGCAUCUUGCGAUUGCGACCGAGGAAAGAACACGUCUCGGCCUCUUGGGUUCUCGAACCUGAAGACAAGGCUACUAUUCUUACGAAGUUCACGAAUCGUCGUCGUCGGAUUCGGUCACAGUGAUGUUAUUCGUCAAAGUAAACUCACGCCGAAUUGACACCAAAGUGUAAGGGCACAAAUACUCAAAGCAAAUAUAAGUCUUAAUAGUGAACGUGGUUCGGCCGUCUGAAUGCCGAACUCUAAAUCCCACUUGAGAGUAUCCAAUCAUAAAAUAACUCGGCGUGCAAUGUGCCGAGCUCAGUAAACUAUAACACCUCACUUUGCCGAGGAGGCUAAUGAGAUGACCUCAAUCAAUAAGGAUUCGGAAAUCCUUCUCGACCGAGACUUGGAUAGGUAACCAACCGUCCUCGCCGCAGUGCUGUUGAUACCAACGGAAGAUGCUGCGAGAUCGGCUGAUUCUACGGCGACAGAGCUAUCUAUGCCGACUUAAGAUAUCACCGGUUGCUUUCACAGUGCUGUUGAUGCCAACGGAAGAUGUGUCAGCGAAAAGAGAAAAUAAAAAUCUCAAAGUUGUUGAGAGAGUUUGCGCAGAGGGCAGUUGUGUGUUCAAUUGGAGCGCUUGAAUGAUGCACAGCCUCCUCUAUUUAUAGCACUGGAUACCUUUAAGGUCUAGUUAAAACCCUACUCGGACUAGGUCUUCUUCUCCUGAUCAAACACCAACUCGACCAGUCCUAUUUUCACUAUAAUUGUGAACCUAGUCCUUUAUCAAGCUGGAUUCACUUCCAAGUUAUUAAUCCUGCCAAGACUCCUUAUUGCGCCAGGACUCGACUUGUCUUGCAGCAUGACCUAACCGACCUAGGUUUGGAGGCCCACGCACUAAACGAUCCAUGGUACCCUUGUCGUAAGGCCUUCCGGGCCGAGAAUGAUUCUAUACUCGGCCCAAACUAAUAUUUUGGGCCCAAACACAUAUGUUGGCCAAAUUCAAAUAAGCAAUAAAAUUAAGGAUAUGUUGCCCAAAUCGUUUUUGCUGAUCUUGAAGUCACAAGUAUGCAAAUUCAAUUGGAAAACACAGAGGUAUCCAAAUUCAAAAGGAAAACUUCGACGGCAAAUGCAAAAGACCCACAUACAAAAUUAUUUUUACCUCUUCAAUAGAAACAUAAUCUUCUAACUCUUCCAUAGAAGCGUCAUCUUCUACUUCUUCAACAAAAAAGUCAUCUAAAUCCUUUUUUUUUUCUUCCUCUAGAUGAAAAGAGAUGGAAAGAUGAGUUAGGGUUUAAGAUAAACUGAGCGUGCAACCCUUUUUUUUAAUGCAAAAGAGGAUAAUUAUGUCAUUAUCAGUCAUUUUACAAAUGAACAAAUUUGUAAUUAAAAAAAUUUAAUAAUAGAUGGGUGAAAAGAUAAGACAAUGAGGUGGGAAUAACAUUACUCUUUGAAAAAGACUGCCAAAUAGAAAAGUAAUUGACCUACUAUUACAAAUAUUUACAACUUGUGCCACAAUAUUCAAAUCAAAUCAAUAAAUAUUACCAUAAUUAUAAUGAACAAAUAAUUAUUGCACAUACUAUUACCCAUAACAUAUAUCAAUAUAUAUAUAUAUAUAUAUAUAUAUAUAUAUAUAUACAUACAUACAUAAAUACAUUCAAAAGUAUAUCAUACUACUAAAAGUUCAAUAAACAUAUAAUUUACCUAUACGUAUAUAGUACUACUAUACGUUCAAAUAUAUAUAUGCGCAAUACUAACAUAUAUGUUAAAAAAUUAUUAUAUGUGUUGUAGGCAUAAUUUACUGAACAAUUAUGGAGGCCUUAGACAGAGAGGGGGUGCGGAAAUAGAGAGAAGAAUAGAGAGAUGUGUAAUUGUGGGUGUGUGUUAUCUCACCCCAUUGUGCCUUUAUUUAUAAUAGUAGGAAGGGUAAAACCUUUCCCUUUAGGAUUACAACAUUUAAUAGGUAAUCCAAUCCUAAUAGGAAUAUAAGAUACAUUCCCAUAUUUCCUAGGAUUUACACAAUCACAUUCCUAUUCUAAAUAGGACUGCAACACUCCCCCUAGAGUGUGUAAAUACUCAAGUAAAUGGCGCAUCAAGUCUUCAUUGAUGAAGUAAGUACAGUUGAUGAAGUCGUCGGCACAAUGGGCCAAUGCGAGUCUCAAAUCAACGGAAGAAUGCAUAAAAAGUAAAACUCACAAAACCUCGUUAUGGUAAAACCAAGAUGGGAGAAAAACCGAUAGUCUAAGGAGAAAAGUGAGAAGUUGCAUUAAGUCAAAACUAUACGUCUUUUGGACGCAAGUAGAAGAGCUCUCAAGGGUAUGAUCAGCCUAGGAUGGGUGCCUCGUUAAAACCUAGGUAGGUAGCAAAAACCCAGUGGAAAAAAUGCUCCUAAUCGUAGGGGAAAAUAGUACAUUAAGAUCAAGUGAGUAUACUUCUGGAUACUCCCCCUGAGUUUGACAUAACUUCCAAAUGAGAACUACAAGCAUUGCAUAUGAGUAGUUAGGCAUACCAAUUCCUCGGACAAGCUUCUGGAAGGUUGACUUCGGCAGUGACAUCGUGUAGAGGUCGGUAAGGUUAUCUGGGAUCAGUUUGCAUGACUUCAAUCUCCUGAUGCUUUGCUGAUGUAGAUGUAGAUGCAAUAUGUCUUGGUGUUGACUUCGUUGAUGUAUCAUGGCUUGGUCGGGUUGAUACAUGUGGCAUAAUCUUCAUGGAUCGUCGUUGGGACUCAACAGUGGAUGAAAAUAUAGCAAGUACUUCGAAUAUGCUCAAUAAGAACUCCUAACCAAGUCUCACUUAUGGCAUAGUGAAGUAAGGUGAGUCUUGGAAUGAUUCGAAGAUUUCGCAACUAGGGUCAUAUCGUGGACCUCCAAGAUAUUGUGAUAUCCCUAGUGGUAAAGACAUAACCAUUUGGGGAUUUUACCUUGUGCGGGUUUGAUAAGUAACCAGUGUCAGCAUAACAAACAAGGCAAUCAUCAUUUCGAGGAUCAGGGGGGUUAGAUCUGCUCAAGAUGCGUUGGGAUUUGCCCACGUAACACCUUCAGGGUACGUCUUUAAUACCAAUUCAGUGGUUACGUGUAGGCGCGGUGCUGCAUCUUUACCAAGAUCAAUAACGAAGGAGAUGUCCUGUCUAAAUACAAUGAGCUAAGUACAACGAAGCGUAAAGUUGAACUUUUAGAUAUGGAAUUUCGGAUUCCAUAGACUUUUCAAGAGUCUCAUUUGCAUAUAACGUAUGGACGAUCAUGGGUAUACUCAAAGGUGACACAUUCCGGGUGUAGUUCAACUGGUAGACCAAAAUACCGUCAGAACAAUGCUUCAACUUCAGGUCAAGGCAUAAACGAGUUUUCCCAAGAUCCUUCAUCUCAAAUUCCAUCUUCAGGUGCGAGGCAGUUUUCUCAAGCUCUUCCAGAGUCUUAGUGAGAUUCGUGUUAACGACAUAAACUGUAACUUUAGCAAUUUGGAAUAAGACUUCAUAGUUUAACACGCAAGGGCAUAAUUCAUAUCCUUAACUGAUCAAAUAAUCACUUAGACGGGUAUAGCACAUCCGUCGGAUUUUUCAAUCCAUAAGUGAACGCCUCAAAACGAGUUAAGAAGGUGUUUUGUGGUUUGGAACUAUUUGAACCAGUUUAUGUAAUUCUUCGGGAACUUACACGUAAAUCUCCGUAUUUAUAUCCCCAUGGAGAAAUACUAACCACAUUUCAUAAUGCUGCUAUCAAUCACAGAACGUUUUGAGAGAAACCUUGUGCCGUAAGGCGUGCAUCAUAUCGCACUAUUUCAUUCAUCUCAUAACGUUUCCUUUCCCACUUGUAACUCAACACGGUUACCUUGGGUAGUGUAGGAACGACAGGUCCAAUACACACUUUGGUAAGGAAUUUGACCUGGAUUGUAACUUUAGUUGUCCAAUCAGUUCUACGUUGUCACUUAAUCAACGGAACACGGUUCGAUAUCGUCGCUUUUCAUUUAUGUCGGUAGCUACCAUAUAAGUGAAAACAUCAUCGAUGAUAAUCUCAUUUCAAUUCCAUUUUCUCAUCCAAACUAGUAUAAUAGACCAAGAACUUCAAGUCUCAGGAGUAAUCCAGAUUAAUCUCAUGAGAUGGAAAUGAUUUGAGACAACGAUCGAGUUUAGAUUCAUUGUUGUGUUGUGUCUUCCUCUUCUAGGGAAGUGAAUCCUACGACCUAAAUGAUAUGUCGUGCUCCAGGCCAAGACAUAUUGAUUGGCUAUCCGCCGGUGUACCGGACCGUCCAACAGGGGCGUCCAAACCAUCCAACAUGGGCGGCACACCCUCCAGGAAUGUUGACUCGACGUCCGUUAAGUACGUUUAUCCUUGCAGGCAUGUUUGCAGCUGGUAUAUGAUCUCGUUACUUUAGCUAGAUCAGAGGAAUGUGUCUGGAGCAACAUUUUGAAAUCUAGAAUUCGUCGCACUUGCUUAUCACACUUGUGCGCUAUGGGGAUCGAGAUGAGACAUAGUGGGCAACGUCCAUGCAAAUUUACGCCGUUCUACAGGAACGUUGACGUUCUUAUCUCCCUCUAACGGCGAGAAGACUGUCUCAUUAAAGUGACAACUCGCAAAUAAGCGGUAAAGAGAUCGUGUGCAAGGGCUCGAAGAGAGCUAGUGUGAAGGAGAAUCAUGAUCGACAAAAGAUACACAUCCUUCUUUGAGGACCCAUGGUGGUACGUUGCGGCGGCACAACUUGGCACAUGGAAUGCGCACCCAAAUGCGUAAAUAUGAAAGUCGUCAGGUUCGUACCUAGUAACCAACUGUAACGUCAUAUAGGUUGGGUAGCAAUGGGCCUCAAGGCGGACCAACAUAGCUACGUGCAAGAUUGCAUAGCCCUAGGCAAAGACCGAAAACUUGGUACCAAAAUUUGGGCGAUCAUUUAAAUUGUGCUUCAUGAUCGCUAAGCUAGGCUAUUUGGGGUGAAUAUGGGAAUGCGAUGUUCAAUUACAAACCCAAAAUGACAUGCAAUACUUUAUCGAAAACCGUUGAUAUAAACUCUCUAGCAUUAUCCAGUCUUCCAGACCUUAAGGGAUAAGUAAGGUGGUGAACCCUUAAUCGGCCAAGAGGUUUAGCAGUAACGUGUGUGGACAAACAUGUGACCAGUUUGUCGAUUCAUCAACCAAAACCAUAAAUAUUUAUAUGGUCCGCAUUUUGGUUGGAUUAGUCCACAUAUAUUUGAUAGGAGCAUAUUUAUGCGACUUAAUUGGCUUGUUCUCGUGCUUUUACGUUGUGUUUCUUUAGUUAUUUUAGUGUUUAAAGUCACUUUUGUUUGUUUUUAGAUUCUAAGGCCAAAGUGUGCAAAAUGAUGUAAUUUGGAGCCUUUUGGAGCAAAAGGAAUGGAUGAAUUGAAGACUUGAAGAAAUUAGGUUUCCUAAUCAACGAAGGAUUCCUAAUUGAAGAUGGACUCCUAAUCACAUGAGGAUUCCUACUCCAACAAGGAUUCCUACUUGAAGUAGGAAAGUUAAGCCAAGGUUUCCUAUUUUGGUUUGACCUUUCCUAAUUCUAAAAAUACUUAUGUUCCAGCCACUUUGAGGAAUUCAUAUGCACUUGAGGACACAAAACAAAGGCCCUAGAACCCUUAGGGACCUUUGCCGCUCUUACCCCAUAUUCCACCUUCCUUGCCGUGCAAGGGAUCCAUUUCCCCUUCAGUUUUAGGACAUCUAACCUUCCCUAAAACCCAUGUCGCACCUUGUGAAGGAUUUCUGACCUUUCCUCUUCCUUGCCGUGCAAGGGAGAGUGAUUCUUUCCUAUUUUCUGAAUGAAAACACAUUCCUUUUGUGUUUUAAUCCCAUGCCGCACCUUUUAGCCAAUUUCCCUUAAUUUCUGAUUUGUUUCCCUAAUUCUAGAAGCUUUUGACUUAAUUUCUGAUUACCUAAAUAACCUAGGGUUUUAAUUCCCUAAACCCUUUAAAUAAACUUCCUUGUUGCAGCCACAAAACAUCCAUUCACUACCAUUCACGCCAGAAAUCAUCCACCAUCCCUUACCACGUCCAUACUUCACCAUUCAUCAUAAUUUCUACCCAGAAACAACCCUUGCCGUCCCCUACAUCCAUCCUAACCUUAAUUCCAUCCUUCUACAUCAUCCAUAACUCCCCAAACUCACCCCUAACCCUUGUGCCGCAGCAAAGGAGAGGAAGAAGAAGUGCUUGAAGGUUCUAGCUGUUCAACAUUGAAUCGUUGGAGUAUUUAGGUGUUCCCUUUCUUAUAUUUACAAUGUAUAAAUCUGUUUUCCUUUGUUUUGUGAACAUGAGGAACUAAGCCUUUUUGGCUAGGGGGCUUUUUUUGCUUGUAUUUGCCAAAAAUUUGAUUGUUAGCUUAAGCAAAAUUGAUGAAAGAAUUUGAAUUAACUUUCUUAACCUAUUUGUUUAUAUUCAAUGAAUUAUUUGUGUUUAAUGUCUAAUUAAUUUCAUUUAAACCUUUGAAGUUUGUUAUAUUCAUUAUUUUGAAGUCUGUGAUUUGUUUUUUUUAAAAUUUAUUCUAGUUAAAUCACUUAUUUGCAACAUGUUUAGAUUGUUUUAGCAAGUCAAUUGCAAAUGUGGUUUAAAAGAAACGAAAAUCCUUACUUUAUCCCAUACUACAAUUGUCUGAAAGAAUUUAAAUUUGUGUGUGUUUAGCUAUUUACGCAUCAAAUUUUGGCGCCGUUGCCGGUAAGCAAGAACUUUGCUUAGAUCCCUUAUGUUCUUUUUAGUUUUCGUUUGUUUUUCUUAUUUGUUGAUUUAUUUUGUUUCUUUGUUUUUAUAUACUUUUGUUGUUUAGCCAUCUUUGGCAUUUACUUUUUUUGUUUUUUGUUUUUAGGUACUUGCCUCGAAGUUCCCAACCUGUUCGUGAGCAUAUUUUGGACUUUGACGACGAUUUUGAGAGAACUUUGAGAAGAAGGAGGAACCAACAAGAGUCUAACCCACUUAGCCCUGAACCUGACCUUGAAGAACAAGUUUUAGAAGAAGAAGAGAGGGGCACGGCUGGGAUUUUUGAGGAAGCACCAAUCAUGGCAGCUGACAACCGCACAAUCAAGGGGCUUUCAGCUUCGGGAUUGGAUAAUGCCGCACCUUUAUGCAUCCAAUAUCCCAUGGCAGCUCAAGGCAAGACCGAGGAGUUCGAAUUGAAGUCUAGCUUGUUGCACCACAUCCCAAAGUUCCAUGGGAUGUCCAUGGAGGACCCUAACAAGUAUUUGAAAGAGUUUGAGGUGGUUUGCUCAAGUAUGACUCCGGUUAACGUUGAUGGCAGCAUCUUGAAGAUGAAGGCUUUUCCAUUCUCUCUAAUGGAUAAAGCUAAAGAUUGGUUAUAUGAACUUGCACCUGGGACAGUCACAUCGUGGGAAAGUAUGAAACGAGCGUUCUUGGAGAAAUUUUUCCCUACUUCAAGAGUCAUUCUCUUGAGGAAAAGGAUAAGUGGCAUACAACAAAACCAAGAUGACUCUUUUCCAUCUUAUUAUGACGUUUUAAAACGCUUGUUGCUUCUUGCCCGCAGCAUCAAAUGAAGGAAGAGUUGCUACUCCAAUACUUCUAUGAAGGCCUUCUACCAAUCGAACGUCAAAUGCUAGAUGCCUCGGCGGGAGGAGCAUUGGUAGAUAAGACACCCAUGGCAGCCAAAACACUUAUUGCAAACCGUGUAUUGAAUGCACAAUAAUACGAAGGCAUUGGGCAAAGGGAUACCCCACAGUAACAAGUUAAUGAGGUAAGUUCCACAUCCGACAUUCAAUCUCAAUUAGCUAAUCUUACGUCCAUUGUUUCUCAGAUGGCCGAAGGAAUGAAAAUUCAAGGACUAAUGGUGUGUGGCGUAUGUUCUAUCCAAGGACAUGCCUCUGAAAAGUGUCCUCAACUCAUUGUUGAGGCUCCCUCCACUUGAAAUUUGGGUGAUUUCAAAGCCAAAAUCAGCCAAGGCACGAUCCAUACUCCAACACAUAUAAUGCAGGUUGGAGAGACCACCCAAAUUUCAAGUGGAGGGAGCCUCAACAACCCCAACAACAAGGAGGCUUUAGGUAACAACCCCCGGGCUUCUACACUAAACCAUACGCACCCUCUUAAGUCCAACCACAAUCUGCCCCAAAUGCUUCAGGUACGUCUCUAGAUAAUAAUGCACUUCUUAAGAUACUAACCAAGUUAUCUCAGGGGCAAGACGAUCACACCCAAGCAAUGCAAAAACAAAACAAAAGGGUGGAUCACUUGGAGAAACAAAUUGGGCAGAUUGCAGAUUUUGUAGGGAAGUUUCAAGACCAAGGCCAACUUCCUAGUUCUACCAUUCCAAAUCCGAAGGGAGGGUUCGAAAGUGCAAAAGCCAUAUUGUUGAGAAGUGGAAAAGAAGUUGGGGCAUGUUCUAAACCAUCAACAUCAGGUCUCAAAGAGGAUGAAAAACUGAAAUUUGAAGAGGAGGAAGAAGGCCUACCCACGGCAAAGGUGGAAACACCUUUACCGCAAGCUUCUAGUACCCCAAAGUUGUCCAAUCUGUCCAAUACGGGUAAGAGUGUGUCAAAUUCAGUUCCUACUAAUGUUUUUCCUUCGAAUGUUCAUUUUCCUAGUAGGUUUAUGCACACAAAGAAGGAAGAAGCUGAAAAGGACAUCCUUGAGACGUUUAGGAAAGUUCAAGUUAACAUACCCCUUUUGGAUGCAAUCAAGCAAGUCCCGAGAUAUGCCAAGUUUUUAAAGGAGUUGUGCACCACUAGGAAGAGGAUUUCGACCAAGGAGGUUGUAAAGGUAGGUGAAAAUGUCUCCGCCAUCUUGCAACGCAAACUACCCCCCAAAUGCAAAGAUCCAGGUAGUUUUACAAUUCCUUGUGUCAUUGGUAACACUCGCUUUGAAUCUGCCAUGUUAGACUUAAGUGCUUCUAUAAAUGUUAUGCCAUAUUCAAUUUAUGCAUCUAUGAAUUUAGGAGUGUUGAAAAAUGAUGGUGUGAUCAUACAAUUGGCCGAUAUAUCUAAUGCCUAUCCAAAGGGAGUUUUGGAAGAUGUUUUAGUGCAAGUCAAUCAUUUAAUCUUCCCGGCGGAUUUCUAUGUGCUAGAAAUGGAUGAAUCAGACCAUGCCCCUUCAUUGCCCAUCCUCCUUGGAAGGCCAUUCAUGAAAACGGCCCGGACUAAGAUUGACGUGUUUAAUGGAACUUUGUCCAUGGAAUUUGAUGGGGAAGUUGUUAAUUUCAAUCUUUCUGAUUCUAUUAAGUACCCUAGUGAGGACAAUUCCUGUUUCUCUAUUGAUAUAAUUAACUCUUUGGCGCAGGGAUAUCUUGAAGAUUUGACGAUGCGCUUGAAAAAGUCAUUACAAGAGGCAUGGAACUCAAAACAAAGGGUGCAGACCCUAUGCUAACCCACGACACAAAUGAAACACUCCAUGCCGUGCCUCCUAGUGAGGAAAUCAUUGAGUUGGUUGCUGCCCUUGAGUCAUUACCUAAGCAUGGUGGUAAGUCUCCUAACUUCGAUUCAAUUCCCAUUUCGACUAACAAAUUGCUUCCAUCCAUAAUUCAGGCACCCAUCCUUGAUCUCAAACCCUUACCAAGCCAUUUGAAGUACAUUUUCUUGGGGGAAAAUGAGACCUUACCUGCCAUUAUUUCCUCAUCCCUCACGGCACAAGAAGAAGAGAAACUAGUGCGUGUUUUGAAGGAGUUCAAAUCUGCCCUAGGUUGGACCUUGGCCGAUAUUAAAGGUAUAAGCCCUACAAUGUGUAUGCAUCACAUAUUCUUGAGGAGGGGGCCAAACCAACUAGAGAGGCUCAACGCCGUCUCAACCUUCCAAUGAUGGAAGUUGUGAAAAAGGAGAUAAUCAAGCUCCUUGAUUGUGGAGUGAUUUAUCCCAUCUCCGAUAGCCGUUGGGUUUCACCUAUCCAAUGUGUGCCCAAGAAAUCUGGAGUAACGGUUGUAGAAAACACGGAGAAUGAGCUUGUGCCCACCCGAAUUCAAACCGGUUGGCGAGUGUGCAUUGAUUAUAGGAAGCUCAACGCCACCAUAAGGAAGGAUCAUUUCCCAUUGCCGUUCAUAGAUCAAAUGCUUGAGAGGUUAGCAGGUCAUUCCUUUUAUUGUUUUCUUGAUGGUUAUUCUGGUUAUAAUCAAAUUGUCAUUGCCCCGGAUGAUCAAGAAAAUACCACUUUUACUUGUCCCUUUGGAACAUUUGCAUAUCGACGCAUGCCAUUCGGCUUGUGCAAUGCUCCUGCCACGUUUCAAAGGUGUAUGGUUAGCAUAUUUUCUGACUGUGUUGAAAGGAUUAUUGAGAUAUUCAUGGAUGAUUUUAGUGUGUUUGGUAAUUCAUUUGAUAAUUGCUUGGAUAAUCUCACUUUAAUCUUGAAAAGUUGUGUUGAAACAAACCUUGUGUUAAAUUGGGAGAAAUGCCAUUUUAUGGUUAAACAAGGUAUUGUUUUGGGUCAUAUAAUCUCUGAAAAAGGAAAUGCGGUUGAUAAGUCUAAAAUAGAUCUUGUACGCUAUUACCCUCUCCUACUUCGUUGAGAGAGGUUCGUUCUUUUCUUGGUCAUGCAGGAUUCUAUCGACGAUUUAUCAAGGACUUUUCCAAGAUUGCACAGCCCCUAUGCCGUCUCCUACAAAAGGAAGUGUCUUUUGAGUUCAACGAGGCGUGUGAGCAAGCAUUCAACCAUCUCAAGGACCUACUCACCACGGCACCAAUCCUCACUCCACCAGAUUGGUCCAUUCCCUUUGAGCUAAUGUGUGAUGCAUCGGAUUAUGCACAUGGAGCUGUUUUGGGUCAAAGGAAAAACAAGCUGCCACAUGUUAUUUAUUAUGCUUCUCGUACCUUAAAUGAUGCACAAUUAAAUUAUUCCACAACUGAGAAAGAGCUCUUGGCUGUUGUCUUUGCAUUAGAUAAGUUUAGAUCGUAUUUAAUUGGCACUAAAGUCAUUGUUUUCACUGACCAUGCAGCCUUGAAGUACUUGUUCACAAAGAAAGAAGCUAAACCUAGACUCAUUUGUUGGAUGCUUCUACUUCAAGAGUUUGAUAUCGAGAUUAAGGACAAAAAGGGGAGCGACAAUGUAGUGGCCGACCAUCUAAGUAGGUUGGUGCGUGAAGAAGAGGUUCUUCCCAUCUCUGAAACAUUUCCGGAUGAACAACUCUUGUCAAUUAAGGUAAGUGAGCCUUGGUACGCAGAUUUGGUGAAUUAUUUGGUGACUAAACGAGUUCCUAGCACCCUAAACAAAUUCCAACGUGAUAAACUUAAGAAGGAUGCUAGAUUUUAUGUUUGGGAUGACCCAUACUUGUGGAAAUAUUGCCCAGAUCAGAUUAUAAGAAGAUGUGUGCAUGAAUCAGAUUUUCACUCAAUUUUAAGUUUUUGUCACACAUAUGCAUGUGGGGGUCAUUUUGGCACCCAAAUGACAGCUUUUAAGGUUCUUGAAUGUGGUUUCUAUUGGCCUACUUUGUUUAAAGAUGCUAGAACCUUUUGUUUGACGUGUGAUCGCUGCCAAAGGAUAGGUAAUAUAGGCCAAAAAGAUCAAAUGCCGCAGGUACCCAUCUUUGUUGUUGAAAUUUUUGAUGUUUGGGGUAUUGAUUUUAUGGGUCCUUUUCCUUCAUCUUUUGGUUUCAAUUACAUAUUACUUGCAAUUGAUUAUGUUUCAAAGUGGGUGGAAGCAAAAGCCACUCGAACUAACGAUUCUAAAGUUGUGGCAGAUUUUGUGAAAACUAAUAUUUUUUCUAAAUUUGGGAUGCCUAGGGUGCUAAUAAGUGAUGGAGGGUCUCAUUUUUGCAAUCGUACCAUUGAGGCAUUACUCAAGAAGUACCAUGUGACACAUAAGGUUUCCACACCUUAUCACCCCUAAACCAAUGGCCAAGCCGAGGUGUCUAAUCGUGAGAUCAAACAGAUUUUGGAGAAGACCGUUGGGCCAAAUAGAAAAGAUUAGAGCUUACGGGAUUAGAGCUUACGGUUGGAUGAUGCACUAUGGGCGUAUCGAACGGCUUACAAAACCCCAUUGGUAUGUCUCCUUUUCGGCUUGUGUAUGGCAAGCCAUGCCAUCUACCCGUGGAAUUAGAACAUAGAGCUCAUUGGGCCAUCAAGACCUUCAAUUUGAAUGUGGACCAAGCUGGAAUUCAUAGAAAGCUUCAAUUGAGUGAACUUGAUGAGAUAAGGCAUGAAGCUUAUGAGAAUGCUAGAAUUUACAAAGAGAAGACCACGACAUUCCAUGAUAAGAUGCUUCGAGGCAAGACUUUCACACUAGGGCAGAAAGUGUUGUUGUUCAACUCCCGUCUUCGUCUAUUCCCUGGUAAGUUACGUUCCAAGUGGGUUGGUCCGUUUGUUAUUACUAAUCUUUUUGUGCAUGGUGCAAUCCAAAUUAAGAGCUUGAGAACUGGGCAAGAAUUCAAGGUAAAUGGACAUCGAUUGAAGCCAUACUACGAGAACUUUGUGGAGCAUGUUGUGGAGGAGAUCCCACUGCAUGCCGUGGGUUCCAAGGAGGAGUAAAUGUGUUCUUCGUCCGGCUGUACGACGUUAAAGCAAGCGCUAUGUGGGAGGCAACCCAUGCAUACAACAAAGGAAGCCCUAGGAAUCACUCCAAUUCCAGAUUUGCGUUCCUAAAACCCUUCUCUUUGUUGUUGUUUCUAUUUUGCCCUGUUUAUUUGUUUCGUUGCUGUUUGCAUGUUUACUUGUGUUUUGUGUGAAUUUAUGCUUGAAACAUUGAGGACAAUGUUUGAUUUAAGUGUGUGGGGGGGGGGGUAAUUAAGUGUUUUUGAUGCAAAUUCGUGGGAUUCUAUCACCCAUAACUUCAAGUGUUGUUCCUUGCUAUUUUUAAGUGUUUUUAAGCUGUUUUGGUGUGUUUUAGUGUGUUUUGUUCUAAAAAUCCGAAAAUCUCAUAAAAAUUUGAAAAAUUGUUUUGAAAAAGCCAAAAAGAGUUAUUUUUGUGUGUUUGUUUGUGUCUUAGGGUACCUUCCAACACAAUGAUGAGGAUUUGGUUUGUAAUUACAUGGCUGUUAAAGAGAGUGAUAAACAUGGAUGAAAGUUUGAAUUACUCUUUGGUUUAUGCUUGGUUGUGGUUAUAACUUAUGAAUUCACAUGCAAUCAUAAAGGAAAAAAAAUCAGUUUUUGUAACAUGCUUGAAGGAAGGAACUCAAACUAACGCUACAACCUUGUGAGACUUGAGCCUAAACAUUUAUUUGGAGAGUUAAAAUCUGUGCAUUAUUGUUUUCUAAAGUCGUUGCAUGAUCUCAUUAUUUUUUGCUUGGUUACUACUUAGAAUGCGUUUCAUCAUUUAGUUCCAAAUGCUAGAACUCAUGCCCAUUUCAUUCAAAACAUGUUAUUGAUUUACAUAACACAUAUUCAAGAUGAAGUUGUGUAGUUACCACCACCAAAGCCAAACUGCCAUGUAUCCUAUAUCAUUAUAUGUUUAAGUUUAACCCCAUUGAGCCUUAUUAGCCUACAUUCUUUGUUAACCCACGUUACCCUCACCUAGCCUAGAUUAGGACCAUCCAUACCCUUGUUCUUGAAGCAUAGUAAAGCAUGAUUCAAAUUGAAUUCCUUUUGAUUAAUGUUUGGCAGAAAACAAGUGUGGGGGAAGUGUCUCUUAUGUGAGUUAGUGUGCCAUAGGCACGGGUAGAAAGAAAAGAAAAGAAAAAUUCGUGAAAAGAAAGAAAGAAAAAAAAAAAAAGAAAAGUGUGAAAAGUAUGAAAAAAAAGAGUUGAAAAGAUGUAAAAAAGAGUUCUAAAAUGUUGUUUGUUGAAGAAAGGGUCCAAAACAUUGUAUUCGGCCCUAACUAUUGCUUUAUUCUUCCCUUCAUGUUUAAAAGUUGAUUUCUGCAAUCUAAGUGAAUUCUAAGUUUCAAUUUCAUUACUUUGCUUGCUAUUGCUUUAAGAACGUUUGUUAUCCCUAUCCUUCUUUUGUUAACCAAUACCCCAAGCCCCGUUGCAACCCUUGACUUCAAUCUUGAGUGUUAUGUGUUUCAAUUUGUGGAGUUUGAAUUUGGUAUGAGCAUAUGGUGUCACUGGUUCUCGCGUCUAAGUAGCAUUCCAUUCAUGAGAUCAUAUCUAAACAUGCUUAUUAACUCCAGAAAUUGCUUUCUUUGUGAUACAAAUAUGUGAGCGUUCGUUUCAUAUCUACAUCAAUCUUCUCGCAUAUAACUAGUAUAGGGUGUGUAGUUAGAAAAUCUGAGUGAAAAUUGAGUGCAUAUCUUGUAAGGAAUUGAGUGAUUUCUCUAAGGCAUGUUACUACAUUCAAAACAUUGUUUAAAUUGGUUAAUUGUGAACUAGUAAGUGGUGACUAUGAUUAAGUAUGUGCUCAAGUGUAAAGAUGACUCAAAUCUGUGGGGAUGAUGAUUUUUAACAUGUCAUGUGCAUUUGAAAUCCCUGAGGCAAUUGUUGGAAGGUUUAGGUUGUGUUUUAUUUGUUUUGUUUCGUUUUAUUUCUUUGUUUUGCUCGAGGACUAACAAAAGCUAAGUGUGGGGGAAUUUGAUAGGAGCAUAUUUAUACGACUUAAUUGACUUGUUCUCGUGCUUUUACGUUGUGUUUCUUUAGUUAUUUUAGUGUUUAAAGUCACUUUUGUGUGUUUUCAGAUUCUAAGGCCAAAGUGUGCAAAAUUAUGUAAUUUGGAGCCUUUUGGAGCAAAAGGAAUGGAUGAAUUGAAGACUUGAAGAAAUUAGGUUUCCUAAUCAACAAAGGAUUCCUAAUUGAAGAUGGACUCCUAAUCACAUGAGGAUUCCUACUCCAACAAGGAUUCCUACUUGAAGUAGGAAAGUUAAGCCAAGGUUUCCUAUUUUGGUUUGACCUUUCCUAAUUCUAAAAAUACUUAUGUUCCAGCCACUUUGAGGAAUUCAUAUGCACUUGAGGACACAAAACAAAGGCCCUAGAACCCUUAGGGACCUUUGCCGCUCUUACCCCAUAUUCCACCUUCCUUGCCGUGCAAGGGAUCCAUUUCCCCUUCAGUUUUAGGACAUCUAACCUUCCCUAAAACCCAUGCCGCACCUUGUGAGGGAUUUCUGACCUUUCCUCUUCCUUGUCGUGCAAGGGAGAGUGAUUCUUUCCUAUUUUCUGAAUGAAAACACAUUCCUUUUGUGUUUUAAUCCCAUGCCGCACCUUUUAGCCAAUUUCCCUUAAUUUCUGAUUUGUUUCCCUAAUUCUAGAAGCUUUUGACUUAAUUUCUGAUUACCUAAAUAACCUAGGGUUUUAAUUCCCUAAACCCUUUAAUAAACUUCCUUGUUGCAGCCACAAAACAUCCAUUCACUACCAUUCACGCCAGAAAUCAUCCACCAUCCCUUACCACGUCCAUACUUCACCAUUCAUCAUAAUUUCUGCCCAGAAACAACCCUUGCCAUCCCCUACAUCCAUUCUAACCUUAAUUCCAUCCUUCUACAUCAUCCAUAACUCCCCAAACUCACCCCUAACCCUUGUGCCGCAUCAAAGGAAAGGAAGAAGAAAUGCUUGAAGGUUCUAGCUGUUCAACAUUGAAUCGUUGGAGUAUUUAGAUGUUCCCUUUCUUAUAUUUACAAUGUAUAAAUCUGUUUUCCUUUGUUUUGUAAACAUGAGGAACUAAGCCUUUUUGGCUAGGGGCUAUUCAAUACCAUGAUUAUGCUUGCAAGAUGAAUUGAUUACUUCUAAUUGUUAUUUCAUGAAUUGUGAAUGCAAUUUGCUUAACCGUUUGAUUGAUGACUUAUUUUUGUGUGUUGAUUAAGGUGGCCAACUUAGUUUUCAUGCAGGAAUUUGAAGCUAAAAUAUAAGGAAGUUUCACCUAAUAGUUACAACCUUAUAUUUGCAAGUAGUGGAGGUCGCUUAUAAAUUCUUGGCAAACGUUUCAUGCUUUUCAUAGUAACAAUUGCCUCGUCAAUGCUUAUAGUUUUCAUGAAGCUUAAUGAUCUUUGAUUGUAUCUUUAUUGUGCUUUUCACGUAAGGGACUUUUAGAGAAUGUUUUGAGUUGUUGCAUGUGCAUUCCCAUCCAAUUCAAUAACUUAAGGAAGACUUGAAGGUUAAAAAAGUGCUAUCACAGUUAACCUAGGGCGUUGAGAUUCAUGGUUUAUUGAAAGAAGCAAUUGGAAAUCAGAGUUGAAUGCAAGUGUAUCAUGUGUGGAGAAGAACCCUCUAGUUACCCCAUAUCUCAUAAAUUCACCUAAUUUUGUCUAAGAAUCUAUUUACAUUGUUCUUGUCUUAAAUUAAUUAUUUUCGUCCAAACUCAACCCCACCUUAUUUCCUUGAGUCAUAUUAGUUAGAACUUGUCUUAGAUUUUGUUUUAGUGUUUUAGAGUUUAGUUUUGCAUUAUUUGAGUCAGUUUAGAGUGUUUAGCAAUCCCUCAUAAUCCUCGGUUUAAGAACGAUCCCUACUUAUCCAUACUACAAUUGUCAACAAGAGGGUUUAAUUUGUGUGUUUAGCUAUUUUACGCAUCAAUAUUCCCUUGAAUCCACUGCGAAAAUGGAGUUGUGUCGUAUCUUUGCAAGAAAUGAUAUAGAAAAUCAAUUUCCCUAAUGAGCAGGAUUGGCAAAGUGUGCUUGUAGGCACAAAAUCCUUACUUCAGAUAAGGAGAUGCGUUGUAGCAUCAUUGUUCGACCUAAGUGUCCCAAAAGGUCGUGCCAAAGCAAGUAAACUGCUCAAUCACCAGGCUAUAGGUCGGCCACAUGUGGUGUAUUCCCAGUUAGGAGACAACCCAUUGACCCCAAAUCAAAGCUUCAGGCUCAUUUUUGGAGGUGGUGCAAAGAUAUUUCACUCUAUUUUAUUCAGUGGUUUCAUUUAUGAUCCUUGUCAUCACGAAUAUCCUUAAAAACUCAACGUCAGGAAGAAUUUAAGGUCCUUUAAAUGAUAAUUCAGUAUCAUUCAUACAACGAGGAGCGUGCCAAUGCUCUUAAUCAGGUUGGAUAGACCUGAAGUCGUUUUUAGAGAUGUGAUUUAGGUGUAAAGUUAGUGUGCGUAGUACGCAUUCAUCCAGACAACUAACUUUCCCACAUUCCUACCUAAUCACGUGUUUAAUUGAAUCGGUCACAUGUAUUAAGAAACAUGAUUCAAUUAACUCAUAUUCGAGGACAAUAUCAAUAAGAUUAUCCAUAAGUAAAACAUACACCAAACUUGAAUCCAAGAACAUGGAAAAAUGUUCACAAAGUAAAUUUACUAAGGGGAUUCGGCCAAUAAGGCCAUCCAUGUCGAAAUUUUGCUCUGACAACGAUGUUCAGUGGAGCAAAAUCAAUCUCACAUAUUGACUACUAGAAUGGUACUUCUCAACAACAUUGGUAGGGGCACGAACAGGUGCAUAACCAAUGAUCUAUUCCAUCAAGACGGGAGUAGAUUCUUGCAAGGUUGAGGUUUGAGAAUAUUAUCCCUUAUUCUUGAAGUUUUAGGUCUUAUGUACCAAGGAUCAUGCUUCGGGCAUGAUGCCACAACUUGGCAGGCCCUGAUUAUACUAUAUGUUUGUGAACACAAACUCGAAAUUGUAUUGUGAAAGAAUAUGCAAUUCAGUGUAUCCCUGCCGAAGUAGUGCAUCACCAUUUGGUUAGGUUUUGACUGAACUGGGUCGAGCCAUUCAGUAGACUCCAGCCGAACUGGGUCUAUACCUUUCUCUCACGUCUGUGGUAGUAAUCAGAUCCGAGAAUUUGGUAAAUUUCCACUUUCUACACUGCUGCUUCAGGAGCGAGUUAGAAACAUGGAAUGACGAGAAAAGUAUUCUCCAGUCAAGAUUCGAUCGGAUUUAUAAAAUUCAGAAUUGUACUCAUUCAUGGACGUAAUCAUGGUUUGCUGCGGGCAAUUUCUUUCAUGAUUAGACGGUCUAUAGAAGCGAGUCAAAGAUCCAUGGAAUCCUCGUUCGGGGAGUAUUUCCAUUUGUAAUGCUUUGAGCAUAAGUCUUCGAAUGAAGAUUAUGGCGGACGCUUAUUGAUAGUCAAUGGUUUCUCAGCUUCUUGAUAGUCAAGUGGAGAUUCACGUCUUGUACCCCACCUAAAGUGGUUUCUAUUAGAAAACGUCCAAAUCAGGAAAAUCAAACUUGUGACGGUUCGACAAUCCACUGAAUUUGAGGGAACAAGAUUGUGAUUGGUGCUAUGAGAAUGAAUCAUCCAUAAGCAUCAAAGUUAGAACAUUCGAGUUCUAAGACAUGGUUUUCAUGAAAAACGUCGGGUUUUCAUGGGUGUAUUGUUUUAUGAAAUCUUCGGGUUUCAAAGGCACUAAAUUUGAAACUACAGGUUCAAUUUAGUUUAUGAACGUUUAGUUCAUAAAGGAGAGGUUCCUGCAAGAAACUCAGAAUGCAAUAUACUAACUUAAUGUAGUGGAUUUGAGUUGUCUUCGGGAACUCAAGUGUGAGAGCUUCGUUACUACGAAAGUAUGUGACAGUUCAAAGAAGAGAAAUAAAUUAUUGAAUCGUUAAUGUCCAAAAGUGAUCUUCAGGUCAAUAAUUUUGGAUUCAUUAUCAGAUUAAUGGACUGCAGGUCACUUUUAAUUAAUUCAAUACAUCGGGACCAUUCGAGGUCGAUCGUAGAAGCAAAAUAAUAUUAAAAUAAUAUUAUUAGAUCGAAAAUAGAGCCCCAAAAAUAAUUGGGCUUAAUGCCGGGGGUUAAGAGGCACGGGUUGGGUGCCUUAAGCAUAAGGCGAGGCCUAAAUGUUCCUUUGGUGGUGGCUGCAGGCCACGGGUGAGGAAUGGGAGACCCUAGCCGCAACUGGGUCGUGUUUUGGGCCACAAGGGAAUGCACGGACAGGUCUAGCGCAAGCUGGCCUGUGGGUUGUCACGGGGAUCCCAGCGAAUGCUGGUUGCGUGAAAGCAGCCCCAUAGUGACUGCAGGUCAUGGUCUUGGGUAUGGAAGGCACAGUGACAAGCCCAGCAUAUGCUGGCUAUAUGUAUGCGGGCCAGAGCAACAAAACCCAGCAACCAAAAAGGUUGCAGCGUGUGUAUGGGAGGACAGCCCAGACAAUUGGGCAGGUUGGAUGGCUGCGGGCCAAGGCUAGUGUGCAUAGGCUCAUGGCUGCAAGCCCUACCUAGGUAAAAUCCAGGCUUAGGUCUGGUGAUUAUUUGCACAAUGAUGAUGCGGUGGUGUGCCGCACCAUGUCCUGAUUCCCCCAUUUUUUUUUCAAAUCCUUUAGGGUUUAGGAAAACCCGAAACAUGCUUUUAAUUUAAUUGAAUACUUUGACUCACAAAUUCCACAUAGCAAUUAUUGCGUAAUGUAUGAAACAAAUAUAUAUAUUGACCAAUAUAUGAACAUAUACAAUAUAUAUAUCGGAAGGUAAAUAUAAAUGUAGGUGGUUCAUGCAUCAUGGGGAAUGUUUUCAUGCUUCAUGGGUCGUUUCAAAUAUCUUCCUUUAUUUUAAACGUACCUGAGUAGCAGAAAACAACAAAAGCCUUUGAAUUUGUAGAAGAUCCUUCUUGAAAGCUGGAAUUCUCCAAUGCGUUGUAUUACGUUCAACACAGAAAAAUUAAAUUGAAUCAAUAACAUGUAGAUCAAUUUAAUAAAAUAAUAAAUUAAUGAUGAAAAGAAUGAUUAAAACGUAAUACUCCCCAAAUUGAAGAUCAAACUCUCUUGUUAGAGUAGCGUCAAGAUAAUGUGUUGUAGGCAUAAUUUACUGAACAAUUAUGGAGGCCUUAGAGAGAGAGGGGGUGCGGCAAUAUAGAGAAGAAUAGAGAGAUGUGUAAUUGUGGGUGUGUGCUAUCUCACCCCAUUGUGCCUUUAUUUAUAGUAGUAGGAAGGGUAAAACCUUUCCCUUUAGGAUUACAACAUUUAAUAGGUAAUCUAAUCCUAAUAGGAAUAUAAGAUACAUUCCCAUAUUUCCUAGGAUUUACACAAUCACAUUCCCAUUCUAAAUAGGACUGCAACAAUAUGUAAUUAGUUUACCUAUUUGCAAAUUUACAAUUAGCAAAUAAUAUAUUUUGUAGGUAAAUUAAUAUUAUUUUGUACGUAAAUUAGUAUUAAAUAAAAUAAUAUUGCUUUCUUUUGUAGGUAAAUUAUUUUGCAUAUAUUUGGCUUGUUUAUUAUGUAAAUAAAUUAUUUUGAGCAAUCUAACAUUUUAAAAUUUUAAUAGUAGGUGCACUAUUUGAAUCAAAUAAUAUUUUUUAGGUAAAUUAUUUUACAUGAAAUUUUACAUAUAUUAGUCAUUUUUUUAUAUGUUUGUGAAAUUAUUUACCAGCAUUAAAAUGUAAAAACCUGUGUGUUCUUUUACCAGGUUUCACAAUGAAAUUCCACUUAGUUUGAGUGUAGAAUGCCAACCACUCAUGUGUCAUUGUACCACACUGUAAUUCAAACGUACAAUUCGUACCCCGAAGAAUCUUCUCGUCACAUUUUAAUCGUUUUUCCCUUUGGUUAAGUAAACAUUUAAUACUCUGAAAAAAGUUGUUUUUUCGUGCAGCGUGCUAUAAAAUUUGCCUAACAUAAAAAAUUUUAAAUAAGCGUUGCCAUUAGCAUGACGUCAGCUUGUUCGAAGGCAACACGCCUGACUUGAAAAGGCUGGGCAUUUGGGCAGGCAGUGGUUGCCCCACCACUUGCCCUUUAUUUUAUGAACUGCUAGAGUGGGUUUUGUGGGUUGGAGGUCAAGGGCAAAUAUUAUUCACAAAUAUAUGUAUUUUUAUUUUAUUUUUGUAUGCUUUGUUAGCCUUAUCUAGCAGAAUUAAAAACCUUAUUUUUUCAAACUUUAUAUUAAGAAUAAGUAAUUAACUUACCUCAGGCAGCCUAUCAUCUUUCAUUCCUUCAAUCCGGUGAAAUUCAUGGCCUCCCCUACAACAUCGUCACCGCAUUAGAGGUAUGGUUUCUGUACAUCUAGGAUACCAGAAUAUCGAAUCAUGAACAAAGAGGUAUGAGAGAAAAACAUAUUGGCUACAUUUCAAAGCCCUAUCACCAAAGAAACAAACCCGUAGUCCUUUUCCUUCAAGCUGCUGAAUGUCAUGCCAUUUCAAACCCAAGCCGUUCAUCAGCAGAUAAAAAAUUGAAAACCGCAACUACAACUUAGUCCCACAUCGGCCAUCAGCAAGAAGGCAUAACGCUUUAUAUAUAAUGAAGCCAAACUCGUGCCCCAGCUGGAAAUUUACUUGGUUGGGGGGACCACUUGCUGGUUGUAUAACACGGGCGCUGCAGAGUGCCAGCAAUUACUCUUUCAGACCUUUUUUACGAUCUUCAACCGGGGGGGAUGCACUUCACAGUCGGUGACGUCAUAAUAUUGACGUCUGCCCGACACAAAAUGUUCUGCUGGAAGUGAUUUUGCGGUAGGCAAACAUUGACAUGAAGAUUGAUACGACAAAUAUUGGUAGGUAGAUAGUGAACAAACCAGGAGGAUCAAGCGUGUUUAAGGGUGGGCAUGGUCCGAUUCGUCCCGGUUCCAUCCUCAAAAUGAAAUCGGAACGGAAAAAUUUUAAUGGUUCGGUUCAUGAUAGUUCUGGUUCGGUUCAUGCCGGUUUACGGCUCUAACCAAAAUUAUAUAUAUGUUUUUUCUAAUUUUCUACUUCUAAUACCAAAAACAUAUUUCAACCACAAAUUCAAGUAAAUUUGAGUUUCCACUACUAAAUCUACAAGAUUUGUGACCGGAAUGAUAGAAAGUGUGCAUAUAAUAUAAAUCAAAAGAUAGAAAUGCUCAUAUUAAGACUAAAGUGUAGAUCUUAAACUAAAACUAAAAUGUACAUAAUGCAUAAUAUAUUGGAAAAGAAUAGAGAAAAUAAUGUAGGGGAGAAAAGUGAUCAAACAACAAAGAAGGGGGAGAGAAGUGAAGAAAAAUAUUGGGCUUAUGCACAUGGUCUUCUUGGAAAAAUGUCUUAUUUAUAUAAAAAUAAUAAUAAAACAAUAAUUUAUAUUAAAAGCGGUUCGGUCCGGUUCAUCCGGUUCUUAAUAUUUCCAAACUGGAACCGGAACCGUUUGAAACGGUUUGGUUCGGUUUUCACUUUUUUGGUCAAUGCUAUUUUUUUACGGUUUUUUUUUGUCACGGUUCGAUUUGGUUUUCCGGUUUGGCGGUUUUUAUGCCCACCCCUUAUUGUGGAAAUGAUUUUGAGAAUUCUCAAAUUGUAUCCAUUCAUUGUACAUCGUGCGAUCAGUUUUCGUCAGAUACUAUUCAUAUUUAAUUUAAAAUAAUUUCUGAUCGUACAAUGUACGAUGAACGAACACGAUUUGAGAAUUUUCAGAUUCCUCACAAUCCUCAUUCGUGAACAAAGAGUUUUGAUAAGACUAAUAUAAAAUGGCUUGCAAAAACAGUUGCAUUUCAAGUAGAUUCAGUGAAAGGCAUAAGACUAAUAUAAAAUGGCUUGCAAAAACAGUUGCAUUUCAAGUAGAUUCAGUGAUCCUUUCUCGAAAGAAAAAAAAAAGUAGAUUCAGUGAUCUAAUUAUGGAUAUCUCCAAAUUUUUUCCUUUUUUCCUUAUAUAGCACUUAGCCUACUUUCAUUUGUCUGUUUUUGAAAAUUUUAGAGAGGGGGGGGGUCACAUUCUUUCAAUUGGGUGGUUUUUGAGAAUUUGAGGGGAGAGAGAGGGGGGGGGAGAGAGAGAGAGAGAGAGAGAGGAGGAGGAGGAGGAGGUCACAUUCUUUCAAUUGGGUGCGUCAACUAAAAAGAAAAAAGUGGAGGAGGUGUGCGUGUACCGUACGACGGAGGAUUCCAUCAAUUCACAAAUAUUUUUUUUAAAAGAAGAUAAUUAGUGGUAAAUUACGGUUAUCUAUUCAUUUUGGAAGCCAAGAAGACUCGUAGAGGCAUUUCAGCCUCUCCCUAUCCACAGUUAAGCAUACUCAUCAGCUUGAAGCCUCGACCCAAGAUCUCCUUUUUUUUUUUGUAUUUAAUCUGUGCCCUUACCAUUGGCCACUUACUAUGGAUGAAUUCACAAAUUUUUGAGGUCUUGAUUCUUGAACAGUUCAUUUGUCACUUUUUUUCCUUGUAUGGUGGGAUUGAAGUGUUGUGAUCAAAUAGGAUUUGAGAGGAUAGAUAUAAAAGGAGCCCAUCUCCUAGAAAUGGAACAGAUCAGUUUUAACAAAAGAAAUCAAAUACAAAAAUAUUGGAGGUUGGCUUCUUCUCUCUUCCUUCCUUCCCUCUUAUUCUAUGUGCAAUAAUUAAGGUCGAGUUAGGGUUGAGAUUGAGUCUUAACAAAGCACAACUAAAGUUCUACACUCCGGAAUCAUUAGAGGAAUCAAAAGCUCUCCCAAACGGUUUUAAUGUUACCUAUCCUCACCAUUGUGAGUUGUGUUAGAGACUUGUCACACUGGCAUUAGGCAACACUAGAUUCGGAUACUCAAUGUAAAUGUGAAGGCAAGACCACAUGCUUUACUAAUUUGGUGAGACAAACUCAUGUGAUAAAAUUUCUUAAGACUGAUUAGAGUCAUUAGACAAACAUCAAUAUAGAAGCUAAUGGGAGUGAGCAAAAACAGACUCGAGAAAUUUUGUAUGUGUGGUUAUAUUACUUUAUCCUUGGACAAAAUUAGCAUCCACUGUACACAACAUGGCAUAUGUAUAAUAUUUGGACGCUCUUGUGAUAGACCACUAGUUCGUAUUUAAAAUUUUUAGGAUUAUUUAGAUAUAGACCCUUGCAACUCUUAUUUCCUAGAUAAAAACCCACUUAAUUCUAAACAUCAAAAUAAAAUCCAAAUUUGAAAAAGACUGCCAAAUAGAAAAGUAAUUGACCUACUAUUACAAAAUAUUUACAACUUGUGCCACAAUAUUCAAAUCAAAUUAAUAAAUAUUAUUACUUACCUUAAUUAUAAUGAACAAAUAAUUAUUGCACAUACUAUUACCCCUAACAUGUAACAUCCCACAUCGUUCAGGGAAGUGGAUCCUAUAAGUCUUAUAUGUAUAUUCUCAUCUCUACCUAGCACGAGGCAUUUUAGGAGCUUAUUGGCUUCAGGUUCCAUCAGAAUUCCGAAGUUAAGCGAGUUCGCCCGAGAGCAAUCCCAUGAUGGGUGACCCACUGGGAAGUUCUCGUGUGAGUUCCCAGAAACAAAACAUUGAGGGCGUGGUUGGGGCCCAUAGUGGACAAUAUUGUGCUACAGUGGAGUCGACCUCGGGAUGUGGUGGGGGCCUGGGCGGGGAUGUGACAUAACAUAUACACACACACACAUACAUACAUAAAUACAUUCAAAAGUAUAUCGUACUACUAAAAGUUCAAUAUACAUAUAAUUUACCUAUAUGUAUAUAGUACUACUAUACGUUCAAAUAUAUAUAUGCGCAGUACUAACAUAUAUGUUAAAAAAUUAUUAUAUGUAAUUAGUUUACCUAUUUGUAAAUUUAUGAUUACCAAAUAAUAUAUUUUGUAGGUAAAUUAAUAUUAUUUUGUAUGUAAAUUAGUAUUAAAUAAAAUAAUAUUGCUUUCUUAUGUAGGUAAAUUAUUUUGCAUAUAUUUGGUUUGUUUAUUAUGUAGACAAAUUAUUUUGAGCAAUCUAACAUUUUAAAAUUUUUAUAUUACAAGAAAGAAUAUAUGGAUAAUUAUGAAUUUAUAAUUAUAUUUUGGCUUUUUAGUAAUAAUGGUUCUUAAAAUUGUCAUAACUCCUCACUUUGAUCCCUUAAAUUGAAAAUCAAUAGAAGUAGUCUAUGAGAUUGUACACAAUUAAUCAUUUUGGUCAUCCUGUGAAAAAUUUCAGUUAAAUUGAAAAAACCACCAGUUGAGGGGAUGGGUUGAUUAGACAAAAAAUAUUCUCAAUUUAAUAGAGAUUUCUCAUAUAAAAACCUAAAUAAUUGACGAUGGACAAUCUUAAGAACGACUUCUAUUGAUUUUAAAUCACAGAGAACAAAGUGUGAAAUUAUGCCAAUUUUAGAGACUAUUUUGAAAAGAUUUCCUAUGAUUUUAAAUAUACACACCAAAUCCACCAGCCUAAAUAAUUGGGGAUACACGUCACAAGCUAGCAAUUUACCUCCUUCCAGGAAACAUGUAGGUAUCUAUCUUUAUGUUUAUUCAAUGCAAUCCUUGUAUUAUACCAAUUUACGUAUUCAAAAAGUAUAUUUAGUUUUCUGUGUACACUUUUCCACCCAUUCUUUUUGUUCUCCAUUCCUUUAUUUCCAAAAUAAUAAUUAACCAUUAAAGUUAACCCAAAAAUUUCCCUCCCUAUUAAAUUCUUGGCCUUAGACCAUCUUUUAUGGAAAUGUCAAAUUAUAACAAUCAAAUUAUAAUUGAUGGACUACCUAAUUUUGUGUUUCUCCAACUAAAUUGUCAAAUAUUAUUUUCUUAUUAAUGUAGAGCUUUAAAUGGUUGUAUUUAAUAAAAAAAAAAGUUGAAACAAAAUUUUUAAUGGCUGAAACAUUAAAGCACCUCCAUAGGAGAUGUCAAAAUUUAAUAUAGAAUUUAAAUUUGAAAGAUUAUGUGGCAGUUUGAUCAUUUUAAAAAUUUUGUUCUCCACCUGGUAUGUUAUAUUUAAACUAUUAUUACUUUUCAUAAUUGUAAUAUGUAUUUUUAGAACAAAAAUAAUAAUAAGAAAAAUGAUUAAAAAAACACUUAUAAAUCACUAAAAAUAGAUUUGAAGUUGUUGUCUAUCAAUCCCCAUUAUGCCAUAUAGGAAUUGACAUUUCGGUUGGAGUACACACUAAUGUUGUAUUUUUUUACAAUUAUUGUUGAUAUGGACUUUUUGACGACCCAUAAUUAAAACUAAUAAAAAAUAGGUUUUUUAUUUUAUUUUAUUAUUUUUUAUAUCACAACAACAUGGUCCCUGAAAUUGAAAAUUAAUCAAUGUAGUCCAAGAAAAUAGGUAUCACAAAUCAAUAUUGUGACAGUCCGUCCCUAAUUUUAAGAAUUUUUAAAGUUUUAAUAAAGGAUUUUACAAAAAUGCCCGUUGAGGUACGCACAUUAUUCGAGGUUAAUCGUUGUGUCGUGCCAUCUAAAAUUUGUUUUCUUGACAUAUCCUCGUAGUACUCGUCGCUACGAGCGUGUGGGUGCUGACGGUUCGUUAUUUGGAGUUAUAACGAAAAAGAUUUUAAAGUUUGAAGUUUGAGCAUUUUAUAAAUUUUAUUAUUAAAAUUUGGAUGGCCCAGAUUUAAUGAAGAAUUAAAUGGAUGGCUUGGAUGUAAGGAAAACAAAAAUAAAUAAAUAUAAGUGAAAGAAGGUUUGUGUGUGUGUGUGUGUGUGCGUGAGAGGAAGAAACAGAGGAAGGAGAUUGGGCAAAAAUGCCCAAUUGGGACAAGAGAGAAGAAGGCAUCAGGAGGGAUUGAGAGAGGGAGAAGCCGACCAAUCGGAACAGAGGAAAGGAGAGAGGGCGAGAAGCGGAGGAGAGAAGAUCAGAAAACGGGUUUUCCCCCAACCCGUUUACCCGCGACACCCACACCCAAAUUCCGGCGAUUUUCACCUGAUUUCUCACAAAUUGGAUCAAGGUACCACUUCCAAUCAACACCUAGGCCUUCCCUCUUCAUGUUUCACCCCAAAAAUCAUGAAAUGUCGUGGUGAUUUGGCGAAGAACACCUACACGGGUGCCGCGACCUUCUUGUCCAAAUUCUUCAAAUCUUGAAAUGUUUUCUUUCAAUUACUAACACCAUUAGUAUUCCCUUAGGACCUGGAACAAAGCCCAAGCUUUGAUUUGGACGGUGGAGUUGAUUUGAAGGUCGAAUUGGAACUCAUCCAAUUCUAGGGUCCGCACGGAAUUGGAUGAAUUUGAAGUGUUUCCAGGCCAAAUUGGCCUUGGCCACAGGUAUAAAGUUUCUCUACUCAUUGAGAUCUUCAAUUCUGUAGUUUUUGAGAAUUUUUGGAAAUAGUUGGAUUUUCCGGCGAGCCGGGGCGGCCGACCGCCACCCGCGGCGGCCCGUGCGGCGGCGCGUGGCUAAUGGGCCGCCAAUGUCAUUCUUAGCAUGUGUUUAAGGUUCUAGGUUCAGUUUUGAUAAUUGAUGGACGUAAAUUGAGUAAUUGAACCUAAGUUCGUUUCGAUUCGUGGUUAGGUGAAAAUGUGAAUUUACGAUUCAACCGUCGGAUCGUCACCCAACUUUGAUACGUUGUAAUACGUAAUAUUUAAGGAUUAUAGGAACUUACGGAUCGAGAAUCCGACAUACGGAUCUUUCGGAAUUGGAGUUGUAAGUUCAUAAACUAGAAUGUUAACCGUCACUUGAUUUUGACAAUUGACGGAGAUCCGACCGUUGGAUGGUAAUGAAAUUUUGGGAUGUUGUCCUAGAGGUAUAUUGUGGACCUCUGGAAGUUAUGGAUUUGAAAUCUGAGUUGCAGAUCUUCCGGAUCGAACUACGUAGUGACGUGUUUUAUAUAAGUUAUAUAUUCUAUCGAUAUGAUUUCUGAGGUUGGAUUUGAUUAUUGUUCUAGGCGCCGAUCGUCAUGACGCAUUGAUGUGUGGUGCUAGGGAGUUGUUGGGCGAACUCCAGGUGAGUGGGCAGUAUUUCUGUUUAUACCUAUAUACUAUUGAUAUUUUUCCCAGAAAUUGAGUUUAAAUGAAAGUACGUUUUAAAAUGCCAUGCAUGCAUAUUAUGAAUUAUAUGAUUUGGUACAUGAUGCAUAUAUGUGAAAUGGUGUUGUGGACGCACAUGUGAGUAUCAGGUGAGGUUUAUGUUGUUCAUGUGAUUUAUUGAUGCUGUGAAUUGUGUUGAGAGCUCACAACCUGCACCCCCGGUGUUAGUGCUUAUGUUAUUCACCCUGCAUCACACGCUCACCUUGGAUCCAAGUAGAUGCUAGUCGUACAGACCACUAGAGGUGGUUCCGACAUGCCAGUCGUACAGACCAUUAGAGGGGUUCCGACUGGUAGGUGACUUUAGAUUAUGUGCACAGAUGAUUGAUGAGAGAAGCACUAGAGCGUAUUAUUUCACCAUCUUAGUCGUACAGACUACUAUAGGUAGUUCCGACUUAUGUGCAGUGUAGUGCCGUACAGGUCACAGUUGAUGACUUUGGCUGGAUGGGAUAUUGAGCUAUAGAAUCAGUUGUACAUGACCACUAUAGGGUCUCCGGUUGAUUUAUUAUUUCACCUGAUUUAUAUUGAUGCAUUCAUAUUAUAUUUUGGCAUAUGGCAUGGCAUGGCAUAUUCUUUCUGAAAAGCGUUGAAGGAUUGUGAUUUGAGCUUUUGAUGAUAUAUAUAUGUUUAUAUACUUUUUUUUCUGGGAAAGUAUACAGGUUUUACGGCGAGGGGUUAGAAAUAUUUUAAAUGAAAUGUUUUCGACAAACUUUGUUUUACUGACCCACUCAAUUUUUUUUUGCACCCCUCCAGGUUCUAGAUAGCAGAGAUUUGGUGGCCACGAGGAAUCCAACGGUGUUCUGACAGAAUUCACAAAAGUAGGACUCACCCUCGGGUGUUUCAUCUUAGUAAUUGUAUUUUUUUAAGCUUCCGAACUGUGUAAAUGGUUACGUCACUCUCAUGUGACGGCCAGCAUGCCCUCAUUCGGGACGGGGUGUGUCAAAUAUAGUCAUGCCAUCACAAUUCUGUUAAAAAAUCUGUUAAGUGCUGAUGUGGCACAUAAAUGGGCCCCAAAAGUCAUAUUUUCUCACAAAUGGUCCUUAAAAUUAAUCCAUGACAUCAAAAUGGUUCCUAAAAUUGACUCGCGACAUCAAAAUUGUCCAUGAAAUUGAAAAUUGAUCAAUUUAGUCCUUCAAGUAAGUGUCUCAAAUCAAUGUAGUCAUUCCGUCACAAUUUUGUCAAAAAGUUGGUUAUGUGCUGAUAUGACACAUAAAUCGGUCACACAAGUAUAAUUAAAUUUAAAAAAAAUUACAAAUAGGUUUAAUAAUUUAAUAGUUAAUAAAAAAAUUGUCUACCCAAAAACUCAAUCCUGCAAUCACCUCCGAUCCCAGUCCACAUUUCUAUACCUCUUUCGCUCUUUAUUCUCUAAAAAAAAAAAAAAAAACUCAAUACACCCAUCUUUACACACUUCGACUCUCUCCACUGAAUUGAACCUGGAUCGAGAUCAUCUUUGGUGACGGCUUGACCCAUUGGCAAUGACUUCUGGGACAUCACUGUUAACAUUUAGGCGAUCAACAUCCUCACAACCUUAAUCUUGGAGAGCUUGUUCGGCGCUUUCUUGGUGCUCUGGUGAUGCAAAGAACGACGAGGUCUGUCUUGAGAUAAUGAGGUUAUAACCGAGGUGCGUCCAUUGUUGGUUGUAAACUAUUUCCACACCCGCUCUUAAGCCUUGGUUAAGCUUGGUGACUUUUAGAAUUUAUGGAAGGGAAAACUCUUAGGAGUAGGCCCUACUAUAAGAAAAAAAAAAUUCCAUUGUGCAAAAAGGUUUUAGACAAUUUUUUUAAAUAAUUAUUAAACCCACAUCAGCACAAAACAAAUUUUUUUUACAAAAUUGUGGCGGAAGGAUCAUAUUGAUUGGCGACAUCUAUUUUCAAGGACUACAUUGAUUGAUUUUCAAUUUCAAGGACCAUAUUAUGAUAAAAACCCUUAAAUCGUGUGGGGUCCAUUUAUUUGCCACAUCAGCACUUAACGGAAUUUUUAACAUAAUUGUGACGGAAGGACCACAUUGAUUUGCGACACCUAUUUUCAGGGACUACAUUGAUUGAUUUUUAAUUUCAAGGAUCAUCUUGAUGGUGAGGGUCAAUUUUAGGGACUAUUUGUGAUAAAAACCCUAAAAAAUAAAUUUGAUGUUGAUGUCAAAUUUGACUCAUAAAUCACAAGGGCUUCAAUUCCAGUCUCAAAAUAACACUUUGGUUAGAAGCUUUUUAAUAUCAAGUUUGCACAAUGACAUCUCCACCUAAAAUUUAAUAUCUCCUUUGAAGAUGCUUAGAGGUCCAACUGUAGAACACCAAAAACAUAUUUGUUGAUUGCUGACCCAACCCUACUACUAUAUAUAGCUGGUUUUACCUUCAGCAUAUCUUCACCAAACCAUUUGUAGUUACUAGCUCCAAUCUUGCAAUUUCUGUAAUUUUUGCCCAUAUAUCUCUAUAGCUCCAAUCUAGUAAUUUCUGUAAUUUUUGCCCAUAUAUCUCUAUAGCUCCAAUCUAGUAAUUUUGCCUAAUACACUGUCUGUAUAUAUAUUUUUCUCUAUCUUUCUCAAGGCAAGACGUUGAUUAAUUAUUAUGUUCAACUAUAUGUUAAUUAUUAUUUUAGGUUGAUUAAUGUCCUUGUGUUCUAAUUUGCAUGUUAGGGUUUUCGACAGGUGGGAGGUUUUCAGAUCGAUAUUAAAAGGAGAGACACAAAGAUGAGCAGACAAGGAAGUAGUGGUCCAAGGCUUGAAUUGAAGUUGAACCUAUCUCCUCCGAGGGCUAACUCAUCAUCACCAGUUGACUCCCCAACUGCCUCCGAGACAUCCUCGGACAUGUCAAUCGAUCACAGCGCAUGCGUGUCAUUGGAGCCUGAUGAUCAGACGAUGCAUUACCUGAGUAGGCCCGAAGCCAAGGCGAUGGUGCUCGCAGGGUGUCCUCGGUGCCUCAUGUAUGUCAUGCUAUCUGAAGUGGAUCCAAAGUGCCUCAAAUGCAAAAGCUCUGUCUUGCUCGAUUUUUUUAGCGAAGAAAGCAGCAAAAGGAGAUGAAUAUAGAUCAGAAUAUGCUUGCUUUUCUUGUUUUCACAUGGAGCAAGUACAUUCCAAUAUAUUUGUUAGGCUUUUGUGUUCCUGCUGAGGUUUUGGGUGUUCAGGUUAAGCCUUUUUCUUCUUCCUAAAGAAGAUUUUUAUGUUAUAUUUGCCCGAGUUGAUUGCCUUUAGGUACAAGUAGCUUGUAGAGUUUGUUAGGUUGUUUAUUGUAAGAGUAUUGUGGAACUUUCAUUUUCUAUCUACUUUUCUUCUUCUAUGUGAAUGCAUCCUAAUUAAAUCUUGUGCCUUCUUGCUUCCUUUGAAGAACUGAUGAAGGUGCAUCAUAGAGUCAGCCAUCUGGAGUUAGCUUAAUCUAGCGAUUUUCUAUUUGGAAAUUGCUUUUCUAGAAGACUUUUUGUUUAGAAGCACGUCGAUAUUUUUGAGAAAACCAAUUUUUUUUCGAGGUCUGAAACAAACCAAGUUUUUAACAAACCCUAAUCAUGUGAGUCCGUUAGCAAUCUUAGUUUGAAUCAAAAUUGUUGUCAAAACGCCAUUCAGAUGGAUGGGUAAAUAGUCAAUAUAUUCCAUCCAUUGUUAAAGAAAACAAAAAAUAAAAAAUAAAAAAUGCACAUUCCCAUCUCAGGCACGAGUCGCACGACACCUACCGCCUCCCGCCCUCCAAGCCUCUUCCUUUCCCAGCCACGCCACUCACAGCUUCUUCUCCAUCUAACUCCUCAAAUAUCCCCAUCUCCAACAAUACAUAAAGCAAUUUCUCUCUCUCUUGGCAUUUUCUUCCACCUCCAUCUCACACAAUAGUUUCGAGGCAUCAACCGCAUCGUUUAAAUCAAAUUUUUUUUCGAGGUCUGAAUCAAACCCUAAUCAUGUGGUCAAGUCCGUUAGCAAUCUAAAUCUGAAUCAAAUUUUUUGUCAAAACGCCAUUCAGAUGCAUGGGCAAAAUAGUCAAUAUAUUCCAUCCAUUGUUAAAGAAAACAAAAAAAUAAAAAACACACAUCCCCAUCUCAGGCACGAGUCGCACGACACAUACCGCCUCCCGCCCUCCAAGCCUCUUCCUUUCCCAGCGACCCCACUCACAGCUCCUUCUCCAUCUAACUCCUCAAAUAUCCCCAUCUCCAACAAUACAUAAAGCAAUUUCUCUCUCUUGGCAUUUUCUUCCACUUCCAUCUCACACAAUAGCUUCGAGGCAUCAACCGCAUCGUUUACAUUCCUGGGAUGAAUAACGAAGGCCUUGGCGACCUCGAUUUCAUACAUGAUGUUGAACGGUUACUUGAGAUUGACCAUGCAGUAUAAUGCGAGAGAAGUCUUCGAAGAGGUUAAUGGCUACCGUUGUUGUUGGACCAGAGGGGGCAUUAAGGGUGUGCAAAAGGUGUAGGGCAUAGGGUCUGAAUUUUUUAGGGCCCCAAAAAUUUUUGAUCCUCCUAUAUAUAUAUAUAUUACGUAUGAGUAUAAAUUUUUUAAUAAAAAAAAUUUUUGAUUGAAAAGAAAAAUCAUCAUCAUAUGAUUUUAUCUAUAUUACAAUUGAUUAAGUGGAGCUUAUACUUAAUGUAUUAAUUUAUUAUUUUCUCUAGCAAUAAAAAAACUUGUGUAUUACUUUUUUCCACUUUACUAACUUAUUUAUUACUUUCUUCCACAAUACAAGCCUAUUUUUGCAUCUCUCUUUUAGUCGUGCUCCAUGCUUUCAUGGAUGAACCCUAAAUCAUAAUUUCAUAGCAAUUGGAGAUUAUUCAAUUAGUAAGAGUGAGAUGUUGAUUUCAAUUAAGUUUGAAUAUUGAUUGUUGAAUUAUGUAUGAAUAUAUUGUCCAAAAAACUGUUUUUUUUUUUUUAAUAAGGAGAGCCUUUUCAUCUAAUUCGCAUAGAGCCCCCAAACUGUCAGAGAUAGCCUUGUUUUUGACCUGAGGAGGUUGAUUGGUAGAGACAACAAAUAGGAUUGAAGGACAUAUUUGUCUUAAAUCUUUAACAGAUAUUCAACUGAAAAAUGAAACAAAAUUGCAAAUUGGAUCAGUAUUGCUAACGGACUUGACCACAUGGUUAUGGUUAAUAGGUUUUUUUCAUCACAAGAGCUAUAUUAAAAUUAGAGUCUCACCACAAGUACCACGAAAAAAAUUUGGCCUUUUAAUAAAAACCAAAUGCACGCUCCAUUAAAGUUCUUGAAGUUCUUCUUACACUUAAAAUACUUUCAACUUUUUAAUCAAGCGUUGUCAUAAACGCUUUGAAUUAUAUGAAAGCUUGUUUAGCUAUUUUAAAAAUAAUUUUAAACAGGUAAAAAUUCUCGUUCCAAAUUAAGAACCAUAAAGGAAUAGAGGAUGGAUAUCGAAUCCUACCUUCUCUUUUUUAUUAUCUUGAUUGGUGAAUCUACCUUAAUAUCAUAAAUAAUUCUCAAAAACAUGGGAAAGGAAGGUUAAGACAGGAGUGGAUUUUAAAGAGAGUAAAGGAUCCUUGACAUGAUGUGCAAUGGCCAAGGGUUUGCUACCCCCAAAUUUCAUGUCUCUUUUAUGUCUCUUUCCUAAUUUUUUGACUUGUAUCCUCUAACUUUACUCCAAACUAAAUUAUUUCACUGUUGGUUUUUUAAACAUUUAAUCUUUGGUAAUAUAAUUAAUUUUAUGAAAAAUUUAACAGUAUUAAUUUAGAGUUAAGUUGAAUUAUUUCACAUAAGAGACAUGAGAUUCAGGGACAGCAAACCCUGGGCCAGAAUGACAUCAAGCGGCCUAAUGGUAAGGGCGCAGAUUGUGGUUUUUCAAUAAAUAAAAAAAAUGUGAGAGAUUCUGGGUUUGUUGUUUCGAGCUGGUGAGUUUGUUUGACUGUAGCUGUGGAUAAGGUGAGAUUUCCCAUAACUUCAUCAGAUCUAAAAAGGGUGGAUUGUGUUUGACAUUGGUUGCUCCCCUUUUAAAAGAAAAAAAAUGUAAAAGAAUAUAAUCGCCUGCUGGCACCACAGUAUAUUCAAACGUAUGGUAUCAGAAUGUCGUACAAAAGUGUAAUAUCUCUGGCUCUAAUAUAUUGUUAUCAUGUAUGUUUAGGUUUCUUGACUUACAGGAUCUUGACUUGCAAGAAAUUAAAGAAAAGUGAAAUUAAAACCAUGGAGACGAAGAUUCAACGUUAAUGGCACUCUGUCAUUUAGUAUUAUGAUCUAAUGAUAUUUCUCUUUAUUUGUAGGUGAGAGAUCUUAAGUUUGAUUCUCGUAAAAAACAAAGUUGAACCACAUUAUUACGGUAAGCCUAUUGUAAGGUUUAGCUCAAUUUCCUCGCUUUCUUAGUGUAAUUACUAUCGUUUUUUUAAAAAAAAAAAAACAUUUUCCACCCUUUUUUUUUUCAUCCUAACAUCUAACUGUUUAACUCACUAAACUACGGCCCUACUAAAACCAAUACAGUGCCUGCUGAAAUUAGUACAUCAUGUAAUGAAUUCUUAUUAAAUUUUCUGUGUUUGGAGUAAAUAGGGCAGGGGCGCGCCCAUUCGAGGCGCCGUUCUCUCAUCACUGUCAAUGCACAACCGUUGCAGUGGUAGUUGAGCUAACUUCCCUAAUAUAAUUCCUUCCUACUUCCAGAACAUAACUUCAACUAAUGUUAACUUAAAAUUUGUAUUUUUAAAUUCCAGAGCAACUAUUUAAAUUACUUAAAUUUGUAUCGUUAAUUUACUCAAUACAUUGAAAUUUGUCAAAAAUUCUAGCUAGUUCUUUAAUACAAUAUUUGUUUUUUAUAAUACUGUCUCAGCUGAAAACGGACCCCUUUCCUUUUUACGGACGGUUUCUCUCAAGUAACUUUUUGGAACAUGUUCUGAAUUUUAUUUCAAAAAUUUAAGCCAUCUAUCUUUUUAAAUCAUAGUUCAAAAUCAUAUUUACAGAAGCUUAGACCCUUAUUAAGGUAUUCACUUGUAGUGAAGAAAAAUAAAAUGUGAAAUACUUAAUAGAGUGGUUAAAUAGUUCUGAAUUUGAGUGAUGUUUUUUUCAAAGAUGAUUUUUGAAAGAAUAAAAUAAUGAGUUCAAAUAUUUUAUACUCAUUUUGUGCAUGGCCUAUUUGUGACCUCUAUCAUGAUCGACACAUGUUAAUAAAUUUAACUCUCUUUAACUUUCAAUCAAUGAUACAUGUAGACCUUGCAUUCGUGUCAUGUUUCUUGUGUUCGUGUCAUACCCGAUAGUUUAACGGGUCGUGCCGUGUAAUUGAUAGGAGUAUAUUUAUGCGACUUAAUUGGCUUGUUCUCGUGCUUUUACGUUGUGUUUCUUUAGUUAUUUUAGUGUUUAAAGUCACUUUUGUGUGUUUUCAGAUUCUAAGGCCAAAAUGUGCAAAAUGUGUAAUUUGGAGCCUUUUGGAGCAAAAGGAAUGGAUGAAUUGAAGACUUGAAGAAAUUAGGUUUCCUAAUCAACGAAGGAUUCCUAAUUGAAGAUGGACUCCUAAUCACACAAGGAUUCCUACUCCAACAAGGAUUCCUACUUGAAGUAGGAAAGUUAAGCCAAGGUUUCCUACUUUGGUUUGAUUUUUCCUAAAUGUCCCUAAAGUUCUAGCAACUAUGAAGACUUCCUAAGCAUUCUAGGACAUAAAACAAAAGCCUAGAACCCUUAUUGACUAAUGCCGCACUCCCUUGCCCUUUCCUCUUCCUUGCCGUGCAAGGGAGAGGGUUCUUUCCUGUUUUUAUGCAUUAAAACACAUUCCUAUUGUGUUUUAAUGCCUUGCCGCAUAUCCCUUGCACUUUCCCUUAGUUUUCUGAUUUUGUUUCCUAUUUCUAGAAGCUUUUGACUUAAAUUUUGUUUACCUAAAUAACCUAGGGUUUUAAUUCCUGAAAUCCUUUAAAUAAACUUCCUUUUGGCAGCCACAAACACCUCCAUUCACUCCCAUUCAUGCCAGAAAGCCAUCCCCACUCUCUACCACAUCCAUACUUCACCAUUCUCCAUAGUUUCUGACCCCAAACACUUCUAGCCGCACCAUACAUCCAUCCUAAACAUAAUUCUAUACUUCUACACCAUCCAUAACCCCCAAAACUCACCACCAACCCUUGUGCCGCAGCAAAGAGGAAGGAAGAAAGCCUUGGACGUGCUUGUUAUUCGAUUGAGGAUUGCUGGAACAUUUUAGGUGUAAUCUUUCUUUUGUUUUCAAUGUUUCAAUUCAAUAAUCCUUGUUUUCUGAGUAUGAGGAACUAAACCCCUCUUAGUUAGGGGGUGAUUCGAAACCAUGUUCAUGCUUGCAAUAUGAUUUGAUUACAUCCAGUUGUGUUUUAUAAGUUGUGAAUUCAAUUUACUUAUCUGUUCGUAUAAAAACUGAUUUGUGUAUGUUGGUUGAGAGUGCACGCUUAAUUUUCAUGCAUGAAUUUGACGCUAGAAUAUAAGGGAGUUUCACCUAAUCGUUAUGAACUUAUAUUCACAAGUAGUGAAGGUUGCUAGUCACAAUCGCGUUAAGUAAAUUCUUGGCAUAAGUUUCAUGCAAUUCAUAGUAACGAGUGCCUUGUCAAUGCUUAUGUUUUUCAUAGAACUUAAUGAUUCUUGCUUGUAUCUCUAUUAUGCAAUUCAUGUAGGGAAGUUGUAGGGAAUGUUUUGGGUUGUCGUAUGCAAUCAUCCAACUCAAUAACUUGUGGAAAAACUGAGGGUUAAUUAGUGCAAUUCACGGUUAAUCUGGGGCGUUGAGUAUUCAUAGCUUAUUGAAAAGCAACUGGAAAUCGUUUUGUAUGCAAGUGUGACAUGUGUGGAGAAGAACCUUCUAGCUAGCCUUCCACCAUAAGUUUCAUUCAAAUUUGUUCUACAAUCUGUUUUAGUUACAAUCUGUUUUCUUUGUUUUCAAAUUCGUCAAAACCAAAUCCCCCAUUAUUUUAAAGUGUUAGAUUAGUUAGAAAUCAAUUUAGUUUGUGUUUUUAAGUGUUUUGAUUCAAGUUAUAACCCAAUUUCGUCCAAGUUUGUGUUUGUGUUCAAAACUGCCCAGAAAGUGUUUAUAAGGCAGUUUCGAGUGUUUGUUUGCUGUUUUGAGUCUUUUGGUUUGUUUUAGUGUUUUUAACUUUAGUUUUACAUUCUUUGAGUCUAGUUUAGUGUUUUAAACUUUUUUUUUACGUUUCUAAGUCAGUUUUCAAGUGUUUAGCAAUAUCUCCUAAUCCCCGGUCCAAAACGAUCCCUACUUACAUACUUUACUACAUUUGAUAAAAAGAGGGUUUAAUUUGUGUGCUUAUAUAUUUCACAUCAGUAAUACCCGUUAAAUUAAACGGGAUAAUAUGACCCGAUCCGAAAUCAACCUGUUAAUAUUAUCACGUAAUAUGACCUAACCCGUUACCCGUUAAGAAAAAUAUAUUUUAAAUCAAUAAAUAAUGAAAAUGAAAAACAUAAUUUGACUCCAAAAAAAUGUAAAACAUAAUACUAAAUUAGUAUAUUCACACUAAAUUUUGGAUUUGACCCCUUAAUGAAAGUUGUAAAGCUUGUCAUUACGAGUGAUUAUAUAUUUUUACAUUUUUCACACUUCUACAAUAAUUAUUAUUAAUUUUGCACUCAAAUGAAAAACAUUGUUCAUGAGAUUUGGAGGGUUUUAAAAAUCUAAACAACUAUGUAACCAUCGUCUAAGCAUAGAGGAUGCAAUUACGAGCAUUUAAAUAUGCUUUCGCAUCUUUCAGACUUAUACAUUAAUGAUUAUGAAUUUUGUUUAUUUUGAGCCCCCUUAAAAAUACUAUUCAUGAGGGUUUGUAUUGUUUUAAAAACUCAAACGAUCAUAUACCCAUCCUCAAAGCGUAGAGGAUGCGAUUAUGAGCGUUUGCCUAUUUUUUCACAUUUUUCUCGCACUUGUAAAUUAAUUAUUAUAAUUUUUUAAUGUGAUUGGUAUUUUUAAAUUACUUGAUAUUUAUUUUUAAUGUGAUUUAUAAUUUUUUAAUCUCAAUUUUUGCCUAUAGUAUAUUAUAAAAAUAAAUAAAUAAAUAAUGCUUAAAUUUAAAAAUUUAUGUAGAAUAAUAAUACAAUAAUAAUUAAUAAACAAUAUAUACAUAUCCAUUAUAUCUAUUUAUUUUAUAGUAAGCUUUUUUAGUAGUUUAAAAUUUUAAAGUCAUCAAAAUAACUUUUUUCUUAUUGUGUCGAAACAGGUUUACCUGCGUGUCACUUUCGUGUAAUGAUGUUAAGGACCCGUUAUUAACAGGUUCUUAUCGUGUGACCCGAAAUCCAUUAUUUUCAUGUCGUUUAUGUGUCGUGUUAACGGGUCAUGUAAGAAAUUGCCAGGUCUAGAUACAAACAACACACAAAAUGAGUGCAAAAAAUUUGAUGUCUAAUAAUGUGAAGUGAGCGCUAUUGAUUUGAAGAAUCCUCAAUUGAAGCUCACUGUGUAAAGCACUUCCAAAGGACAAGGAUUUUCUCCUCUCUUGUUUGAUCGCUCAAGUUAUUAGUCUUCAAAAAGAUUUGUGCAGAGGUUCUUCUCAAUGUGCAAUUUUCGACCCCUCUGUGUAUCUUGGAUCCUUGUAGUUAUAGACUUCCAAAGCCAUGCCUUUGGAUGGAUUUGCUUUGAUUUAUGUCUUGAUUCGUCCAUGGGAGAAUUUAGGCAUGUUUUGUGUCUUAAUUUCAGCCACCUUCCUCAUAUUGGUUGAAAUUUAUACGCCUUGUUGCUUAUUUGUGAGCAAUCUUCAAUUCUUGCUUAUUUUGUGAAGAUGCUUUGGCUUUCUUUCCGGUUUUGAGAGAUUUUGGGCCCCUUGCCGAUUUUAAGGGGGAUUUUCUCCCUUUUGCCGAAUUUUAGGAAUGUUUUACACUUCCUUUGCUUGAUUUGUGCCACAUGCCAUUGAUGACUUGUCCGUUUGUGAUGAGUUAUAUGCCACAUGGAGCUUUGUGAUACACCUUUUGUAUUCAACGAAAUUUACAUGUCUACAAUAACACAUACAUUGCAGCAACUACAACUAGCUAUGAUUGAAUGAAAAUUUUUACAGCAGCUACCGCUAGCUAUAACCCAUAAAUGGAAAGGACAGAUAUUUUUCUUUGCUUUUGCAAAAUUUAGGGUAAACCAGAAGAACUGACAACUGAGGGUCCGUGAGCAUACAUUCAUAUAUCUGGGUUUAUUAUGUUUAUUUGUUUGUCUCUCAACCAUUAAAAAGAUCUUACAAAGUUCCUGACAUAAUUGUAUCAUAAAGAACUGAAGGAAAUAACUACAGGGUACGUACGCACACAACCUUCACACCUACUUUUCCUUCUAACUGUUUUUUGGGUAAUGAACAGCUGGUCAUCAAGAGUUCAGGUUAGUUGCAAAUGGAUAAAUAGAUUAGAGCUAUCUUAAUGGAAGUCUCUUUAAAGUUUUUUAAAAAUGGUGGGUAUGGACCCGAUCACAAUGGGUCGAUAGGGUUUC
rnacentral:lncRNA from 1 species